AUAAAACUUGGCUGACAUAAACUUGUCGUCGAUUAUCCGAGGAGCUGUGGGCAUCAAAAACCUCACUCUCCCCCUCUUUUGGAACCUUUUCGUUCUCACCGAAAAUUGACGGCUCUGUCUUGGAUGGUCAUUCUGUUGAGUGAUAACCAGAGGAGCUCAACUUCAAUGGUGGGGGUUGAUCUGGUGAAAGAAGACGGCGGAGCUAGGUUGUAUGAUCUAUCAAAGGCGAAUCUGAGCCCCCUCAACUAAUAUUGUGCCUUCUACACAUUUAUUUAUUCUUAUCGCCUUUUUAUGUUUAAAAGUGAUGAAUUGUCAUGGUCGUGGCAUUUGCUAUCUCAUUAGGAGCAGUCACACACAAAUCACCUAUCGUGGUGUUUGGUUUGCCUUCCCCAUGAUUUUAUUGUCCAUGGUGGGAGCCCGUUUGGUGCAUUCGGCCCUUUUCUUUUCUGUUCUUACUUUCCCUUGGAUAGUUUUUGAGAUUACCUUAUUGGCUUCGUGGUCAGUUUGCUUGUUUCAAUUGCUAUUUGACUUUUGAUUAUGGUUUCCUUCCUAUCAUGUUCAUGAAUGGCUGUGAUGAUAUAGCUUCCCUGUGAGAACUUCUAUCUAACACCUGAAUUGAUUCAGUUGGUGCUAAACUAGGAUGGCUUGUGUCACAGCAAGUUAACAGUUUAGCGGCUAAUUAUUACUCCCUCCGUUCACAAAUAUAAGUUGUUCAUGGUCAUUCUACCAGAUGUUCAGUUAUGGUGUCGAGAUGGGGAUAUAUCUGAGCCAUCUACUUAUUCAUGUCCCAGUUUUUGUGUCCACCAGGUCAUAAUUUGCUCCCUGUAUAGUGAUUCUUUCUGCUUUCACUGAUUCUUGUGUGGUUUCUGGUCAUAUUUUGUUCUUUGGCAAUUGGCUUCUCUUUGUUCUUUUUGUGGGAUUGGUACUGUUGCUGUUGAUGGCUAUGAUGAGUAAGGUUCAUUCAGAGGUGUACAAAGAUCAGAUACCAUCGCUUGUUUUUAUGGUAUGUGUUUGGGUUAGGGUUUUGUGUGACUAGGUGGUAACGUGCAAAUCGGGAUGGCUUCCUUUCUUUGAGCAACCAUUUGAAUGUAGUAAUGUCACACAGGUUUAAGGGCAUCUCCAACGAGGAUCACUGAGCUUAUCGGAUAGAGUGGGUUUCCCAUAUGAUAGACGAGCCAACUCUGAGCCUCCCAUUUUUUAAAUAAAUACGGCCUCUCUUUCUACAAUUUGUGGUUAUGUGCUUAUGUAUGUUAUUGAAUAUUAUUGGUUUAAUUAUUCUCAAUAUAGUAAUAAUUUAUAGCAGUAUUGGAUCUCACUGUAGUAUAUGUUAUCAUCUAUGACAGUUGUGAGAUGCGCUCAUAGCAAACCGGAUGUUGAGCUAUUUUACACUUACAUGCGCAGAAUGCUUUGAAUUAGUUAUGCAUCUAUAAGUUCUACUUUGUUGGUGCUAAACUAGGGUGGCUUGUGUCACAGCAACUACGAUGAUGAUAAAACAUGGCAGACAUAAACUUGGCUUCGAAUAUUCUGAGUAAAAAUGAUUGUUUACUCAACAAAAUUUGAACUGAUCUUUUACUUUUUGAGAAUUUGUAUUCUUGCUCACUUGCAUCCAUGUAUACAUAAAAGGUGUAUUGAUAGUUCGGUUAUGAUAUUAGUUCUUUCGGUAAAAUCAUGUUCUGGUCAAUGCGAAGGAUUGUUUUGCAAAUUUAUAUUUUUGCCUAUUUCCUAUCAAUUUGUACUUUUGGUUACUCUUUACUUCUUUAUUGGUUUCAACUUAAGGGUCGUAUAGGGAAAGUUCAGAUGUCAAGACUAUUGUUUCUUUUGUGUCAUGUUCAUGAAUGGCUGUGAUGAUAUAGCUUCCCUGUGAGAGCAUCCCUGUGAGGGCUUCUAUCUAACACCUGAAUUGAUUCAGUUGGUGCUAAACUAGGAUGCCUUGUGUCACAAAGUAACCAGUUUAGCGGCUAAUUAUUACUCCCUCCGUUCACAAAUAUAAGUUGUUCAUUGUCAUUCUACCAGAAGGUCAGUUAUGGUGUCGAGAUGGGGGUAUAUCUGAGCCAUUUACUUAUGAAUGUCCCAGUUUUGUGUCCACCAGGUCAUGAUUUGCUCCGGAUAUAGUGAUUCUUUCUGCUUUCACCGAUUCUUUUGUGAUUUCUGGUCAUCUUUUGUUCUUUGAUAGUUGGCUUCUCUCUGUUAUUCUCUUUGUGGGAUUGGCGCUAAAUGCUGUUGAUGGCGAUGAUGAGUAAGGCUCAUUCAGAGGUGUGCUGAGAUCAGAUAUCAUCGCUUGUUUUUAUGGUAUGGGUUAGGGCUAGGGUUUUGUGUGACUAUGUGGAAGUGUGCAAAUUGGGACGGCUUGCUUUCUGUGAGCAACCAAUUGUAUGCUGAAACGUCACAAGUGUUUCAGUGCAUCUCCAAACGUGGAUCACUAAACUUCUCAGUUACCGUGUGGGUUGCCGAUAUGAUAGACAAGCCAACUGAGCCCCCAUUUUUUAAUAAAUACGACCUCUCUUUCUACAAUAUGUGGUUAUGUGCUUUAUGUAUAUUUUUGAAUAUUAUUGGUUUGAUUCUUCUCAAUAUGUUAAUAAUUUAUAGCAGUAUUGGGAUCUCACUGUAGUACUCCCUCCGUCCCAAAAUUCUUGUCUUAGGUUUGUCUAAAAAUGAAUGUAUCCAAAUACUAAAACAUGACUAGACACAUUCAUAUAUAGACAAAUGUAAGACAAGAAUUUUGGGACGGAGGGAGUAUAUGUUAUCAUCUACGACACUUGCGAGAUACUCUCAUAGCGAACUGGAUGUUGAGUUACACUUACAUGCUCAGAAUGCUUUGAAUUAGUGAUGCAUCAAUAGAUUCUGCUUUGUUUGAAUAAAAAACAAUCCUGUGUGCUGAGGGCCCCGGAAGCAAGCAGAGGGUUUUGCAUCCCUUGUUCAAACUAUGCUAUUAGUUGCAAUUGUAUGUAUGUUCUUACUUGCAUGUUCUAUUUCUUUGCUCAGCAUUCCCAUUUAGUAGUUCCUGCAUUUUAUUUUGCGCCUGGUUUUCUUCCUUUCAUACAUUUGUUGUGUUAUUGUAUAAAUUGUGCUAUAUUGCUCUUCUUCAUUCAUGCAUUUGCUGCACUAUGGCACCUCAAGCAUCAGCAAUAAGAAACUGUACUACAUUUGGUCUUCGCUGUCAUCAUACUGUAUACAUCAUUUAUAGCAGUGAUGGUAUCUCACAGUAAUAUUUGUUGUCAUCGACGAUACUUAGAGAUAUGCUCAUAUAGUACUGGAUGUUGAGCUAUUUCUACUCUUCCUGCGCUUGCUGAUGCAUCAAAUAGGCUGUACUUUGUUUAAAUAAAAAAAGAUCAUGUGUGCCGAGGGCCCUUGGAGCUAUUAAGCAUUUUCUUGGGGCUACUAGUAAGUUGAUCCAUCCACACCAAAACAUGAUGACUUAGCCAACAGAUUCUGAAAGUAAAUGAAAUAUAAUUAUGGAGGGGAUGGUGCCUUGAAGUCAAGUUCAUGUGCAUCUAUAGCGUACCAACACUGAUGAGAGAAUUACUUGUUUGGUCCUUUCUUAAAGUUUGCUUUCCUGUUUGGCCUAAAAAAAAUUCUUCUCUAUUUGACCCCAAAUGUAAAAUUUGUUCCCUAUGUGACACUUCUGUCUAGUUUGGGCACAAACAGUGUUGAAUACAACAUGAAAAGACCAUUCUACCCCUGAUGUAAUGCAAGGUUGAAAAAAAUAAUCUUUCAUUUGUUCGACUAAACCGGUUUAUUAGAGGCGAAAGAAAGAGAAUAGCGACAAUGCUUGAGGAUUUGUGAGGAAAAGUAUAAGGGGUGCUGCAACUUUUGUGCUUGCAUGCAUGCAUGUAUCUCUAGUGCUAAUUGCUUUGGUGAAUAGCAUUCAUGGUUUAUUUUUUGUUCCUUUUUUUCCGUCUCACCUUCCAUCACCAUCCCUUCACAUUGGUUUUUUCACCUUCUAAUAAAAACUUUCAUAACCUUUCCAAAAUUUCGUAACUAGCCAUUUUACAAAUGGCAUGAAAGAAUAAUAUGUUAUCAAACAAUAAAAUCCAAUUAUGUGGUAAUCAAUUUUGAAUCCUAAAAGCAUCUCUAGCAGACCUUGUAUAAAGCCAACCCGUAAAAGUGGUUUAUAGUACGCGAAAAAGAGAUAUUUGUAGAAGAUGCUUUUUUAUAAGUCGACAAUGCGAGGUUUGCUCGGUCGGCACCAAAUCGACCCUGCAAGCUGAAGUGCUCGUAAAACAAAUGUGCAAUAUAAGUAAAACGUCAAUAUUACAAAUACAAUAAUCAUUCAAAAUACAAUAAUUAUUCAAAUCACCGUAGCAAACUAAAUAAUUUAAUACAAAACUAGUAUACAAAUCACACAUGAAUGAAAUGAAAAUGAAUGAAAAAAUAUAAUGUGUUACUGCCUAGCCCUUUGUCAAUGAUGCUUAAUUACAUCCUUCUCAAGUUAAUAGUUGUGUUUCAAUCCUUCUCAAGUUGACAGUUGUGUUUCUAUUUUCAAUAAGUCUGAAGAAAAGCUCUAAUUUGGUUAGGGUCUCUAGCUGGUUUGACACGGCUGCCCACACUGUUAUAGAAUAAUUUCAUCCUUUCUCAUCUUUGAGAAUCAUAUGGUGAAAAAUAACAUUGCAUGUCAUGGUGUUUUUCAAGGAUCACUUGUCUCAAAACCGAGCAAGACCACGAACAAUGGCAAAACUAGAUUGCAAAAUCCCAAAUGCUCUUUCAAUGUUUUUUCGGGCUGCCCCUUGUGCCUCGCGAAUUCAGACUCUUUCCUACUUUGGGGGUCUUUGAUGCUCUUCACAAAUAUGCAUGGGUAUAUAAUCUAUAAGAUAGUACCCUUUUGUGUAUUCAUGUUCAUUGAUACUGUAGUUGCAAGUUGAAGCAUCACCUAGCAAGCAAAUGAAACUGUUGCAACACAUUCACAUUGAUAUCAUUUACAGUAUCCGGCAUAUAAAAAAGCAAUGUCAAAUCCAUAAAUUAUGUUAAGCUAUGACCCAUAGUACAAUUGUUGCAUCACGAGACUUGUCGCAAUACAUUCCCUGUCAUGCUUUUGAGUAACUUUUUCAAGUUCAAUGUAUACAAUCUAUGCUUACUAGUAUGUCAGGCCAACCUCUUCUUUUAUUAAAUGCCAUUAAAUUUUUUGUGUCUUCCUCGUUCGGCGUCCGAAGAUAUUCAGGACCAAAGACACGAACAAUCACUUUGGCAAACCUAUGCACAGACUUAAUUGUACUAUCUUUCCCAAUGCGAAGGUACUCAUCGGUAUAUUUAGCCGGAACGCCGUAUGAAAUUACCCGCAUAGCUGCCGAGAUUUUUUGAUAUGCACUAAAUCCCUUCAAGCCCACGACAGUUCUUCUUUGAGUAAAAUAUCGACAAUUGGCUUCACGAGCUUGCACAAUUUUUACAAAAAGGGAUCUGCGCAUACGGUACCUUCUCCGGAAGAGGUGCAACGGGUAUGUUGGAUUGGCGGCGAAGUAGUCUUGCAUCAGCAUCUCGUUCCCGAGAUGGCGAUUUCGAGGAAUGCAAAGACGACCGAUGAUCAAUCCUCGGCGCCUCUUUCGGUUCUUGUCUUCAUGCUCCUUCACAUCAAGGAACAUCACCAAACUCUGUUGGCGAAAUGUGAGAAGUAUCGUCUCAACAUCCGAGUCAUCUGAAUCGGGUUAAUCCUCGAGCAGAAACUUCUUGCACAGGCUCAACUCCAUCUCCGGCGGUGGCUCUCCGGCCGCGGUGGAUUGGGGGAUCUGGGGGAGCCGGUGCAGCGACUCGGCAGAAGAGGGCAGGGGCGCCCCAUAGGCGCGAUUCACCCCGGAGAUUUGGCGGAAUCGGUGGCGGCAGACUGGUGGAACCAAUGGCGGGGGUGGCGGCGGAAUGGGGUGGGGAAAGGGUGCGGGCUGCAAUGUCCGUCUUGCCAAUCGCUUCCCUGGGAUACGGGGCACCGUAUAGGCGAGCCGGAAACCUGUCUUUUCGCGGGUCCGGGAGGGGAUUUUGCCGCGCCCCUCAAAAAAAUUUACGGGUCCGAUGCGUUUGCGGGGUCUGACUGGACAACAUUUUCCGCGCAGACCCGCAUUUUGAGUGUUAUUUUGCGGGUCGGGGCAUUAUACGGGGUCUGCUAGAGAUGCUCUAACUUUCCUAACACAUGGAUCCUUCAUGACAAUCAAAUCUCUUUUUUAAAUGACAAUCGAUAUGAAUUCGUUCGGUUUUUUCAUCUCGCCUCCCACCACCACCCCUUCACAUUGGUUUUUUCACCUUUCAAUAAAAACUUUUCUACUCUUUUCAAUUUUUCCUAACCAAACAUGUUACAAAUGACAGGAACCAUACAUUACCAGACAAUGAAAUCCAAUUAUCUAGCAAUCUAUUUUGAAUCCUAACUUUCCUAACACAUGGAUCAUUUCUAACAAUCAAAUAUCCAUUAAUAAAUGACAAUAAUUAUGUAUUCGUCGUUGAUACCCAGCCCCUCUUCCAACGAAGUCUUCCCUGUCUACAGUUUCUCAGCUUUUUCAUCAGAGACCGCGAGUGACGACGAGUCUCUGCAGAUGAUGAGCACACUCAUGCCUUAGAAGGAUGCGUACGAGCUGUUCGUCGGAGGGGAGUGCAUGUUUGUGAUUGAGGAUACUGGCAAGCCGGUGGCUAAAAGCAGAGGGUGCACCAUGCGUUGUGGCUGAUGUGUGCGUGUGUGUUGUUUCCUGCUUGUGCGUGUGUGGUGUGGAUAGGUGCGUGUGUGUUGUGUGCUGCUCUCCUUCAGCAUGUAUGCAAUGAUCUGUUCCGGCCAACCGUGAAUGGUAUUUGUGUUUUUGGCUUGGUUAUACAUGCAUCUAAGUUUUGGGAGUUUAUACGAUCUAUAGAUGACCUAAUAUGUUGUGAUUUUUUUUGUAAGAGUGUUGUGAUUUCUAAAUAAUGCAUUUUUGGGAGUUCCGCGUUCUGAUAUGCAUAUCAAUUGUAAGUCAUGUGAAGCUGCCCAAAGGAAAUACUUUUGUGUUGCUUCUCAUGUUUCUAUUUUUCUACAAAUUGUUUUGGGUCUUAUCUCUACUCCUAAAGGGUGAGUCUUGAUAGUGAUGGUAGGUUCGUACAUCGUUGGUUUGUCGGUCUCCAUCCUCCCCUCCCAUGGUUCUUUACCCAUCGAUGCUCCCUUACACGUCACUUAUUUCCUUCCAAUCCACUUAAAAAAGUUAUUUCCCUCCAGGUAUACCGCUUUAUUUUCAUGAUUGCUUCCCUUGUUAUUUCCUUUCAGUUAUACUGUUUUAUUUCCAAGAUUGCUUCCGUUCCAGAUUCUUUUCCCACGAUAAACACACCUUCCCAAUUUCCCCACAAUUUAUGCGCCCAUUUCCUCUCACCAUUCUCUCCUCACAAACCCUAGAUCUACGGCUCCGGUGCCGCCAACCACAUGCAUGUCGUCGCUGCUGUCGCUUAGUUCGGCUACAACCCAGAGAAGGUCGUGGAUGCGGUGAUGAAGUCCCACACAUGCAUGGGAUGAGAGGAGGAGGAUACGGAGGUGCUGGAGAGCUUGAGCAUCGUGAACAUGUUGUAGGUUCGUGAUGGUAGGUUUCCUCUCCCUACCACCGCCUCGUGUUAGAGUCCGCGGAGAGUAAGUUGGGGCUGUGGCUUCGCCACUGAAGUUCUCCUCCAUGGUGUCAUCGAUUAGAUCCAGCUGACCCAGGUCUGUGUCGUUCCUCCUCCCUUGGCGCCAUUCCCAAGGCGAUUAUCGAGAAGAACCAUGUUUUUCUACGAGUGACAGCUCAGUUCAUGGUCCAGGCUCUAGGAUGUGAACUAUCACACAUACUAAGUCUAUCACUGAUCUCUCGUUUGUGCCAUAUUUGUGCUUAACCAAGCAUCAUUUGUUAUUUCAAUUCAUACUGCAACUACCUCAACACCAUAUAAGAAAAAACAUAUACAGAAUACUCAACAAUAGCUAGCAGAACUAGCCUGCAGGAAGGCUGCCAUUAAGAGACUCGCUACUCUUUUAGAAACUAUAGGUAUGGAAAAGCUUUUUAGGAGCUCGUUCUAUAGGUUAUAGCCUCUUAUAUCUGAGAAAGACAUUUUUGGUUUUUGGGUGUUGACUUGCUUACUUUGUUGUCUAAUGUGUUGCUUUCAUUUGAUGUGAUAUACUAGCUUAUCUGGUAAGUGAUGACAAGCGAGUAGGUGUUAUAAUAGUUUAUCUAUUACUUUGUUACUUAAAAGGACACAGCAUGUGAAAAUAGAGUGACACAAUGUGGAUCACUGCAUCGUGGCAAGCGAAGGUUUAAAAAGAUUUACAAAACAGAUCCAAGGGACAAAAUAUAUUAUGAUCGUGCUAUGUGUAUUAAAGACUUAUAGAAAUGCAUAAGAAAUAUGUUGCUAUAUAUUAUGAUCCUUCUAGACGGAGUGGAGGAAGGUGGUGUUGGUGCAUCCUCGGUCCGAGUGGAUCGAGAUAUGGAGCAGCUCAUGCAACUGAGGUACUUUGACCUUGGAAGGUCUGGUAGCACCGACGACGAGUCCCAUCUCACCGCGGUUGUGCCCACGGGUUAUCCGAGAGGUCGGUUUCACCGCAUGAACAUCUACUNNNNNNNNNNNNNNNNNNNNNNNNNNNNNNNNNNNNNNNNNNNNNNNNNNNNNNNNNNNNNNNNNNNNNNNNNNNNNNNNNNNNNNNNNNNNNNNNNNNNNNNNNNNNNNNNNNNNNNNNNNNNNNNNNNNNNNNNNNNNNNNNUACACGACGUCCUAAGUACGUCUCCUUCCACGAUGACUAAACUUACAGUGGUAAUGUAGUCGAUUCAAGGGACAAUCCACGUACUAGCCUACGACACAUCUUGUUCAUCAGACAGUGUCCACACUAGCCUAUCAUCUUAGAUCAAACACUAUCAAGAUGGCGAUUAGGCUAGAGAACUUAUUUCGCCGCCACUGACGCUGCAACAUCGCCGCUAGGAAACAAUGGCCAAUAAGUGUACGAAAAUGGAUUACGCAUUGGACGGAGAGCUGAGUUCCCUACUGUGUGCCAGUGCGAGCAUGGCGACCAGUAGCGGAGGAGAACGGUGCGCUUGUGUGGAGAAAAUUGUUAAUGGUCAUUAUGAAUAAAUCUUUAACAUGGAAGAUAUGUUAGCUAUGCAAGUUUCCACGUAUUGGCUUUGAUUAGCCGUUGUGUAUCGGCUAUCAUCUUGAGAAAUAUAACGACGAAAGAAAGUUGUUUGAUUAAUGGUUUAUAACAUAUAUUUUAUUGUCCCAUGACAAUGGACGGGUAUUUAGCUAGUAUUCACUAGUGUAUAUACUUUGUUUAUUCUUAAAUAUAAGUCUUUUNNNNNNNNNNNNNNNNNNNNNNNNNNNNNNNNNNNNNNNNNNNNNNNNNNNNNNNNNNNNNNNNNNNNNNNNNNNNNNNNNNNNNNNNNNNNNNNNNNNNNNNNNNNNNNNNNNNNNNNNNNNNNNNNNNNNNNNNNNNNNNUAAAUAUAAGUCUUUUAAAAGAUUUUACUACGGACUACGUACGGAUGUAUAUGAACAUAUUUUAAAGUGUAGGUUUAUUUAUUUUAUUUCGUCUUUUCACGUUUGGACUUAUAACACCGUUAGUGGUCAAAGUAGACGGAAGUGUCAAAUAGGGAACAAAUUUACAUUAUGUGUCAAAUAAGGAAGAAAAAUACAUUUUGGAGCCAAAUAGAAAAUCGAAUUUUAAGAAAGGACCAANNNNNNNNNNNNNNNNNNNNNNNNNNNNNNNNNNNNNNNNNNNNNNNNNNNNNNNNNNNNNNNNNNNNNNNNNNNNNNNNNNNNNNNNNNNNNNNNNNNNNNNNNNNNNNNNNNNNNNNNNNNNNNNNNNNNNNNNNNNNNNNUUAAGAAAGGACCAAAUAUGAAAUUCUUUCGAAAAUGAUCACACACCGGCCAAUAUAUGUCAAAGGGCACAACCUUCGAGUAGGUAACCUUACCGCAAUACACGAGACUCUUCAUGACCCCUGUCUUAAGAUCGACAGCGUAGAGGUUCUUGCACUUGUCCUUGACGAGCAACGUGCCAUUCUUCUCCCCCAGAAAGAUCUUCUGCUCGAAUCUGCUUGGGUGGUUUUAGCUCAACGACUCGCUUGCAGAACCAUCUACGACCACUCUCACUCCCCUCACUAACUUGUGACAUGCAUAUUUUUACAUGACGGCCUGGAUUUUGCAGGUAAAGCAACGAAAGUGUCUCAUCGGCAGAAACAAUAAGUUGUGGUUCUUGAUAGAUUCCACAUAAAAUGUCGUGGGUCGGGUUCACAAUCUUGGUCAGGGAAACAUGGCAAAUCUCAGCAUCUACAACAAUAAUAUGCAAGAGAUGGUGGUAGAUUGUAUGGUACCCAACAAGCCAGUGUGCCGUGCCUCCAGGCACAGUGGAAAAGGUCGGCCGUGUCCUCCAGGCGCGCGAUCAAGGAUCUCGCAGACCAUGUCGUCCUCCGGGAGUGAUGUCGCCGUCGUCUCUUCAGGCACCAUGCAUGUCUCGCCUACGUGAGCUACAGCGCUGCGCCGCGCGUGCGGUCGGAGGGGGAGACUCGGGAUAGAUUUUGUGUACGUACGUGUCCAGCUAGGUUGACAUGCCUUGCCGUUUUGGACUCUUGGUCAAACCCAUCAUGUCCGAAUGUGUCACGAGCUCAUGAUUUUUGAAAGGACAGAAAGGCCUUUUCCCCACUUCGGCCCGUGUCGGCUGUUUUUUCCUUUUCUUUUGAGUUCGGCUGGUUUAUGUAGCAUAUAUACUCUGAAUCAUUCAUGCAAGAAUCAUGUCAUGGCACACACGGCAUACUUAUGGUACCACGUGCAAGUACAUUUACCAGUCAUGGAUAUAGAGUAGUUUAGCCUUUUGUCUAAUACUAGCAAAAAUGCCCGUGGCAAACUUCACAUCAAAAGACAUCGGCAAUGAACCAGCAACAGUGCAACAAAUGACCUGAUGAGUCAACGAAGAUGUGGAUGGAGGUGUGGGCAAGGAAGAGGGAACCAUACAAACUGAAACGCACUGGGGAGGCGAUGAAUCACAUGCCGCACAAAGUGGCGUGGGUGAGGUCGGCUUGAGGGCUUUGACGUUGACGGAUGCGUGGGCCAGCGGAGUGAACAAACUCCCCCUUCUUGUACUUCAUGGCAUGCUCUAAUCCAUUGUGGUGUCUUCCAUCAUACAAGUGACCGAGCUCAUAGCCAUCAAUGCCCUAAUCGAAGCCGUGAUCAUCGAUGACUGCCGCCGCCGCUGCGGUUCUAACCUUUGCGAUGUUCUUGAUGGACGCGAGUAUUUUUUUUCUUCUUAAAUUUAAGUUCUCACCAAUCCAACUCCAUAUAGCUUGGAGUAUUUACAGCCGGACCCCUCAAUCCGCCUCAAACGUCCGGACUGCCCGUCCGGUUACUGAUCGAUCACAAAAAAUUAACUUAAUCGGACCUCUCAUACUCAUCUCAAACGUCCAAACUGACCAUCAUUCCUCGUAUCCAUCUUAAAUAUAAGGACGCGCGGACGCGCGCGGGCACGACUGGUUGCUCGACGCCGAGCAACAACUUUUGGUGCCGUCCGACCACUCGCUUAUUCAAAGUUCUGUUACACAUUGGCUUAUCCAUUAUGUCACUAGACACUACCCGACCUUGCAUACCAUACCAUUGACGUGGAUGCCGGAACCUGCCGUGACGUCCUGACUAAGAUUGAUAAACUUAUAUCAAAUAGAUCGAAGCUCCACAUUGUCAAGCUCACAAAAUGAUGAACCAAUGAUGAAUCACUACUCACUGUCUAUACUAUUGAUGUUGAUGGGAACCUCUCGUUGCUUUAUGUGCAAAGGCAAGGCUCCCAAUUGAAGAGAUGGACGCGACAAGAGGAUUGUGGUCCCACAAGGUGGCUCCCCACUCAAGUUAUUGGGCUAGAGAAGGGUGGCAUCUUGAUCAUAAGGGACAGCCACGGGAAUGUGUACACUGUAGAUCUUGACACAGGGAUGAUGAAAAACUUUGCGUACAUUGACAAGAUUAACCAAAGACACCAAAUAAACACCUAUAUACUUUCUAGACAACAUAAUGUUUGGGGUUCAAUUUUAGUAAGGACAACUCCAAUACGGAUCACCAAAUGAACGACACAAAAUAUCGGUGGUCAUAUCUAUUCAUAGCCGGUGGGGCGGAGGUCAUCCAACCAGAGACAUCAAAUAAACAAGAACACCAAUUUUUCAUUCAUUUUGCGGACUAAUUUUACAUAGCAAAAAACCCUAUAUAACUAAAAAGGAAAUUAAAAGUCCUACUCCACUCCUCCCCGUCAAAAAUGAGGUCAACAUGCCCCAUACCAACAGUAUGUACCUCGAUGACAUGGAGGUUCCAACGCUUGCUAUAGAUUUUUUUUUAGAAAAGGAAGAUGACCCCGGUCUUUGCAUCUAGAAGAUGCAUGCGGUCAUUUUAUUGAUUAUUCUCGCGGAACAUACAAAGUAGAACAACAAUAUGUUUGAAUCCGCCAUCCUGACAACAUCUGUCGCUACCCUAUCCAUAUGAUGAAGGGGUGCAAGCCGGGCUAUAUACCCAGACCUCUCACCUAAGCGUAACCACUAGUGGGGACGGGGCCUUUAGCCCCGGCCUGUAAGGGGCUUUAGUCCCGGUUCACCAACCGGGACUAAAGGGGCGGGACUAAAGGCCUAACCUUUUCGUCCCGGCCCUGUUACACGCCGGGACUAAAGGUGCUCCACGUGGGCGCCUCGUAGCGCCCCAGGGGCAGGCCCUUUAGUCCCGGUUCGUUACACGGACCGGGACUAAAGAUUUUCAGAUUUUGCUUAUUUUUGGGUUUUUUUGAAUGAAAUUAUUUUUGGGUUUUAGGGUUUUAGGAUUUAGGUGUUCGGAAGAUUAACGUGAUGCCUCGUUUGGUGUUCGGGAAUUAGUUUUCAUAUAAUUUAAAUAGAAAUAAUUAUGCAUAUAUAUAUAAGAUUAACUUAUCUUACAAGCGAGCAUAUAUAUACAAUUACAUGGAGAUCUGAAUUAUCGGGACUAGAGUCCGUCUAUUCGAUUACAUGGACGAACAUCAGUAAUGGCCCCUAGCUACACUAAAUCGUCCUUUGUCAUCUAUAGCUUCCGUCCUCAGAAAGGUCGCAAGCUCCUCUGCAACAGCAAUCGCGCGUUGCUCUGGUAGGACCUUCGUCGUCAUGGCCGUGUGCUAUAUAAGAAGAGGAGAUGAAUAUGAAUAUCAAUCAUGAUAACAAAGAAUGACGGGUAAAAAUAGAGGUGUGAAUGUUCAUUGCUUACGUCGAAUCUGUGAUCCUUGUGCUCAGAGGUAAACGUGCGAAUGGUCUCGCAAACAUAGUAUCCGCAUAGAUGCGUUCCCAAGGCUGCUGGUCGCACUUUACGAGAAUAGAAUAUAUAUAAUCAAAAUAAUAAUCUAGCAUCAUAAAUGUAUUAAAAAUUAAUAGAAGUAUAUCAUACUACUACUUACCUGAGCCGCUCUAAAGGUCAGCUUCUCAUGAAAGUUACCGGGAGUCACGCACUUGAACCGCUUCCAAACCCUGCCCGACAAGGAUAAUGAUUUGCUAAGUUUUUCAUUAAUUGAUAUAUCAGAAAAUCAUCGAAAGAGACCGAUAGAGCACAAGAAUGAUUAAAAUUACCCUUGGAGCAUGUCCUGCAGGCUUUAGAACUGUUCCAAGGGUNNNNNNNNNNNNNNNNNNNNNNNNNNNNNNNNNNNNNNNNNNNNNNNNNNNNNNNNNNNNNNNNNNNNNNNNNNNNNNNNNNNNNNNNNNNNNNNNNNNNCACUGAUCCAUGGCGGUAAGCGCUUGGCCAUGGCUAUAAUAAGGGAAUUAAUGUAGUGCCCCAGAUGUAAACCUGGCUAUAUUUGGAACCUAUUGCAUGUCGGUCCACCUUGUCAGUGUUUUGAUGAUAGCAAUUAUGCCAUGACCUCAUGUGGUGUCCCUUAUUUUUUUUUUCCUUCCUUCCNNNNNNNNNNNNNNNNNNNNNNNNNNNNNNNNNNNNNNNNNNNNNNNNNNNNNNNNNNNNNNNNNNNNNNNNNNNNNNNNNNNNNNNNNNNNNNNNNNNNNNNNNNNNNNNNNNNNNNNNNNNNNNNNNNNNNNNNNUUUUUUCCUUCCUUCCCAUGCAUGCCCUUGUCUUGUGGUUGCCAUAUGAUCUUAGCAAUUCAUGUGGUGGUGGUGAUCUUGUGGUUGCACCUUGUGAUGCCUUGUGAUGAUGCGCAUGUGAUGUAUAGUUUAAAUGGGGUGUGCAUGUGUUAGUAUAAGCUUGGGUUUCAAAACCAUCUCCACCCCUCCUCUCUAUUUCUCCUAUGUCAAGAUUCUCUUCUCCCUUCACUCUCUUAAAAAAGCCCAUGUAUUAGUGUAUUUUGUGGAGGAUGCCAAGAUGUGUUUUUUUCUGUUUUGUAUCUUAUUUUAAAGGGUGCAAAUAAAUCCUAAACAGUAAAUAAAUUGCUGUUUUGCAUUUAUUCAAAUUGCCCCAAAUAUUUCUUUUCUAUUUAUUUCAAAUAGGUCAUAAUUCCUUAUGACCAGGGGCAUUUUUGUUUUGUUUUUAACCCCAACAGAAUUGCCACUUGUUUUAAAACCUUUUCUGUGUUUAUUUAAAAGAAUANNNNNNNNNNNNNNNNNNNNNNNNNNNNNNNNNNNNNNNNNNNNNNNNNNNNNNNNNNNNNNNNNNNNNNNNNNNNNNNNNNNNNNNNNNNNNNNNNNNNNNNNNNNNNNNNNNNNNNNNNNNNNNNNNNNNNNNNNNNNNNNNNNNNNNNNNNNNNNNNNNNNNNNNNNNNNNNNNNNNNCCCCCCCCCUGAGGGCCCCCUCCUCUAUCUGUCGCUAGUGGCACCGCUCCCGCAUGGCCUAGCCCAAUACUCCCCAGCUCACGUGCGCGGCGCGUCGUCCUCCUCCCUUUCCAGCGAGGCAGGCGGCNNNNNNNNNNNNNNNNNNNNNNNNNNNNNNNNNNNNNNNNNNNNNNNNNNNNNNNNNNNNNNNNNNNNNNNNNNNNNNNNNNNNNNNNNNNNNNNNNNNNNNNNNNNNNNNNNNNNNNNNNNNNNNNNNNNNNNNNNNNNNNNNNNNNNNNNNNNNNNNNNNNNNNNNUCCCUCCCCUCUGCUCCACCGAGAGGAGCGGCAGCACAUGGCCGACGACACGCCCUCGCGAUCCUCCUCUCCAGCUAUUUAAUCCCUUGGCAUCCGUGCACUCGCGCUAGGGUUCCUCCCCGCGCCGCACCGUCCAGAUCUCGAUCCCCCUCUCUCUCUCUUGACGCAGCAAGGUAAGGAGGGCACGGGAUCGCCAUGGCCGACGGGUAGAAGCUCGUCGUCGCCGUCGAUCUUCUUCCUCAACCUCCUCUACGACGGCACCAGCAGCUCGAGGACACCUCCAGGAGCCCGUUCCCAGCGCUACAUCGGUCACCCCCGCGCUGCAUCCACUGCUUCCCGGCGGCGCUUCCCCUCCGACGAGAAGCUUCGCCGACGGCCUUCUUCCACUACUUCCUCUACGAGCCGCUCCCUCCUCGACUCGUACGCGAGGUAGUGCUCCUCCUCCCUCCUCCCUGUCCCAGAUCGGGUGCAGUAGCAGUAGGUUCGAAGCGCGCUUGCUCUCUGUCGCCGGAGCCGCCGCUCGCCAUCGUCACGCCGUUGUAGAGUUCCUUGGGCGUAGUUAGUUAGUGAAAUGAGCUCGUGCGCAUGUGGGCUUCCUCCCCUCCACGAGCCGUUGCUCGAUUUGUACCAUGUCGUCGGCAAGGGUCAUCCCCUGUUCCGGUCUGCCGCCGGUAGUAGAUCAGCAGAGGGACCUCCUUCAGUUCGUUUGUUGCGUGUGUUAGUUCAGACUUCGUAGCGUAGCCCAAUGGUAUGUGUUUUGUUGUGCAAGUAGUGAGGUGCGGGGUUCGAUCCCCCCCUCGACACCUUUUUGUAUUUGAUUUUAUCGGCACAAUGUCCUGCAGAGAGGCUUACCUUGCCUGAACCCUCUGUUAUGUCGAUAAGUUGACAGUAGCAGAGUGGUAAGGGUAGGUUUGUUGAACCAGUGGGUUCUGGGUUCGAAUCCCAGGGAGCCCUCCUUUGUUUUUCUCUUUUUGCUGCAAUUUUACUUCCUUCUUUGUUGUCGCUGUUCUUGUGACAAAAGCAUAGGUGGCAAUGGCAUUCUUUUAAUUUUUCCUUUGCUGUUAUAUUUGUGUUAGUUGUUGUGGUGUGUGGAUGUGCUUGUGAGAAGUGUAUGUGAUGUGUGAGCAUACACAUGAUGUUGGCCACAAGGGAGUGUGUGAGUAAGUGGUGAUGCACUUGUGUGUGUGUAUAUUCACUUAGUAGAGUAGUGAUGCAUGUGCUUAUGGUCAUGUUUUUUCCACCUUAGUUGAGAUUGGCAUUUUAUCACCUUCCUUGUAUUGUGUAGUAGUGGUAGACGAUGAGGUGUUUGUUGGGUGCUUCUGAGAGAUGUGCAUGUGUGUGUGUGUGUGUUGCACACACAUGAGGUGUAGCUAGUGUAGGCAUGCUUGUGUGUGUGAGAAGCUUUCCACCUUUGCAAGCAAGCCUUGCACCUCCACAUGUCCAUAUGUGAGAGGGCAUGGGAUGUUGUUUGUGUGGGAAGCUUAGUAGUAGGGGUUGUGAAGUUGAUGUGCAUGACACAAACAUGGGGUUCAAACCCCCAUUUCACUUUGUCAUUGUGCACAUGAGCUCAACCUUUGUUGAUGUUGAUAUAGUGGAACUACAUGAAAUGAUGCCCUAUUCACUAGGCAUGAUUUGAAGUAGUUUCCUCUUUCUUAAUUGUGGUCACUUGUUCCAAGUAGGUGCCCACAUUUUAUAUAUGAUUUUGGGGUAGAAUCUCCCAAGGAAUCCAGUGGUGAAGUUAGUUUUUCCAUUAGGAUACUUUAUGGAGUUGACAUAUUCAGAUUUGUUGCAAGUUUGCUCUUUGUUUCCAUGGAAUAGGUGGAGCCCAAGGGCAUGAGUUUUUGUGUGGUAACAGUAGAGGUUUUGCUCUACACCAUAGUGGUGUCAUUUAUCACUUGGUGUUAUUUGUGUGCAAGCUAUGCCUAGACAAAGUGGGCAUGUGGCUGAAAAAGUCCAGCUUAGUGAAAUCUGGAAUUUCACCAAGUCUGAGAAUCUGGAAACAUUUUCUUCUCCUAUAGAUGAGGUUGUGCUUGUCAUUGUGUUGUGAACUAGCGUUAGUUCAGUGCUAGGAUUUUGGACCUGAUAUGUUUUUGAAGCUCCCUGUAAAAUUUCAUCUCAUUUGGAGUGCUGUAGAUUAUGUUUUGGUUGCUGUCAAAAAGCUUCAGAACAAAGACAGGAAGCCAGGUGCAGGAAUUUUCACUAAGUCCCUGAGAUCUGAUGGUUUUGGGAAAGUUUGUGGCCCUGUAUCUUCUUGUGUUUAAUUCCUUUUGGUGUGAUUCUUGCUGGUGAUUGUAGUGUUCUUGGUUGUCUACAGCCACAUAUAUUAUUUGUCAUAUUUGGAGGGCUGUAGCUAUGUUGCAUGUAGCUCACAAAGAGCUAAGAUGCAGAUUAUGGCAGAUUGAGUAGUAUAGUCAUUUUGAUGAUUGUGUGUGCUUAGUUGAUGUUGUGGUGUUCUCCCUUGCUCCAAUUCAUUCAUGUUGGGUGGUUAUAUGUCUUGGCAACCUGCGAAUACCAGAUUUGUGCCAAUUAUGGGUGUGGUGUUGAUUCUUACACGUAGGGCUUCAUAUCUUGUUUCGAUGAUUCCCGUUGAUCCGUAGCUCCGGUUGUAAUGUUCUUUAUAUGGUUUUGCAUCGUUUUCACGAGACGCAUCUGUUCAUGCCAUUCUCAUGCAUGUAAAAAUAGCUUAGUGUACAGUUUUUUCCAGAAACUUGUAGUAGUUUCUUUGCUUGUGCUAGUGAUAGAAAUAGUAAUGCAUGCUCAUUUUCAUCUCAUGCAUCAUGUGCUUGUUGCAUCUUGUGGUGCUGCUGUUCAUUGGUUGUUAUUCUUAUGUUGGGUAGCACCGGGAUCGGAGAACGAAUACGUGGAGUCAGGAGAGUACGUGCAGGACGAACCAGAACCAUUCCAAGCUGAGGAUAUCACAGGCAAGAUGAUAUGACCUUGAUUCCAUCUCUAGACUUGUUAUGCUAGUUUGCGUUUCCAUGUCAUAUUGCUCGCUGCCUACCACUGAAUUAAAUUGCCUCUUGAUAUGCCAUGAACCCAAACACUGAUCCCUUCCUAGCAAAACUUGAAUGGCUAAGUAGGCUUUGCUCAGCUACUAAUGUUAGCGUUGCUAGAUGCAGGUGCUUUGACUCAUGUGAUAACAUGAGCUUGAUAUCAUUAUCUUAAAUUCUGUUAUUUAAUUAAUGCACUUAUAUACUUGGUAAAUGACGGGAGGCCUAGCCUUUUGCCGGGUGCUUUGUUCCGUUAUUGACGCCUUAGUUACCGGCUACCGGUGUUUGAUUCCAUAAUGAUCGCUCCUAACACGUUCGGGGUUGUUAUGGGGACCCCCUUGAUAAAUCGCAUAGUGCUAAGGCUUGUCCGGCAGGACCCAACAUUGGUUUUAAUCUGCUAAUCACAUAAUAAUCUGCAUAGGGAAUAGUUACCCGAGGAAUUUAAUCAACAACCCGGGCCAGUGCUCCUCAUGAGUGUUGGUCCCACCUGAGUGAUGUCCGGGGCCCCACUGGUCACCCAGAGGUUUAGCCAUCCCGACGUCUAGCUCAUCCGUCGUGUCCUGAGACUGAGAUACGCGGCUCUUAUCAGGGUCGUCGACACGACGGGAGGUCCUGCUAGCCUUGUCUUACCUUAGCGAUAUAUCUUGCGUAUAGGAAUCCCAGUGAAGCUUUGGUUUCCCUCAGAGUAGAGGUUUUCCUCUAAGGAAUCCGACGAGAUCACGAGAUUCGUGAUAGAGGAUGCCAUUGUGGCCUGUGUACGUUUGUGGUGGACUAGUUGGAGCACCCCUGCAGGGUUUAAUCUUUCGGAAAGCCGUGCCCGCGGUUAUGUGGCAACUUGGAAUAUUUUGUUAACAUCCGGUAUUAAAGAACUUAAACAUAAGCUAAUAAAAUUGCCAACUGUGUGCGUAACCGUGACUGUCCCCCUCGAAGAUCUCUCUUCGAUCGGGAACACGGUGGGGUUAUGAAUGUCGUAGGUAGGUGUUCAGGAUCACUUAGUGAUCAAGUAAUCACGACCGCUAGUGUAGACCACCUUCAUAUUUGCUUUAGGUAAGUUAGCCACCAAAAUCAAGCUUAGGAUGCUGCAGCCUUAUACACUUCACCCUUACCCUACCUAAUAACAUGACUAGUUCUGGCACCAAGGUCUUAGAUUGCUGAGUCCCCGUGGCUCACGGAUUCCUCCAAAACUCCCAACAGGUACAGGUACCCAGAGACAGAUGAUCCCGACGGCACCCAGCUGGCGUGGCAGUACGACGAGGAGACAGACCGCCUCUACGUGAACUAUCCAGAGGAUUGAGGCAUGGUCGUGAUCGUGGGCCUGCACGCAGGGUAGCAUAGCAUUUCCAUGUUUUGUAGUCCGUAGCGGAACUACCUUGAUUGUAUCUGUGAUGUACUCUGAGUUAUUAAUGAGAAGACAAUUGAAUCCCGAAUUGUCUACUUUUAUUAUUUUGUGCUAUGUUACUUGCUUGCGAAACGCUUAGAUGCGCUUCUUUCCUAUUCGGGGACUCGACCCCCAGAUCGGAAAGGACCGCAUAUUGGUCAUUACAAUUAAUGCUCCGAUGGCAUUGGCAACACGUUCUUCUGACUGACAUUUCGGCUUAUUACAAUAAAAAAAAAGGUCUUACCGUAUACAAAUAAGCAUAAAUAAAACACCGAUACUUAAAAACAAACUUUAUUUCUUUAAGCAUCUUCUCUAAUUACCUUGCAUUGUACUCCCUCCGUUUCAAAAUAAAUAACUUAAAAUAACUCAACUUUGUAUAAAAUUAGUACAAAAUUAAGUUACUUUUGAAUUACUUCUUUACCUAUUAAUAAAGCAGUUACUGCUUCUGCCGUACGUUAUAAUUUUUACACCUAAAGUUGCCCUAAAUUACCCACCAUGCCAUCCACAAGUUAAGAAAACGAUUCAGAUUUUCGCCCUUGUCAAAAUCACCGUGAGAUAUCGUUUUUAUAAGUUUGGACAAGAAAUUGGUACAAACGCAUGCGUAGCAUAGUGGCUAAAGCCGCCCAGGGCAGACCCGGGUUUGAUUCUUGGAUCCUGCGUCUUUUUUCCAGUAUCUCCUUUUUCUUUUUAUUACAACUAGCAUGCACAUCCUCCUUUCCUUUCCACUACGUUUUCAUGGCCGGUUCAUGUUUUUAUCUUUAAUUUUUAUGUCCUUUUUCUCAUUAAUUUUUUAUUUUUCCUAUCUUUAAAUUAUUUCGUAAUUUCUCAAAAAUCCAAAUUUUAAAAGUUGUGAGUUCUAAAAAAUGUUCAUCAAAUCAUACAAUGUUUGUUAUUCGGAAAAUUCGGACUUUGUAAAAAACAAUGAAUUUUAAAAAUGUUUACGAUUUUUAAUAAUGUUCGUUAUUUCAAAAAUGAAUUGUGGAUCAGACAAAUGUUCAUUAUUCAAAAAAUAUUCAAAAAUUUGGAAGAAUUUAGGAAAAUUAAAAAUAAAUAAAUAAAAAAGUAAAUAGAAAAACUAAGAGAAAAUGUGAAACCGAAAAGAAAACAUAAAAACGUAAGAUAAGAAAAAAUAAAAACCAGGCAAAAAGAGAUUCAUUUUGCGAAAGCGAUGGACACUAAACUGUUGAUAUGAGGUUUAUGUACGAGUGAUUUAAUAUUGAUUUUCAUAUUGUUUGAAAUUGUGCUAAUAAUGAUUAUUAUUUUCAUACUGUCAUGUGGUCUAUUUUAGUAGUUCUCUAUAAGAUUGAUUUAAAUAGCUUUAGAAUUUAAGCGGUUAAGUCUUUUAGGUUUAGGUUUUACUUAGUUCUUGAGAAGUGUUUAUAUGCCUAGGGGUUGGGAGUAGUUUGUGAUCGACGAGAUUAGUUGUUAAAGUUUUAAAAAUUCCAUUGUGCUACACAAUAACAAGUGUGGCGUGCAGUGGCUGGCUCAUAGUCUUAAGAUUUACCACGUCAAAUGCAUUAUAAUUACAUGGACACACCGGACAUCAUUAAAGAGCGUGGAAAAAAUAAAGAAGUGUCAACAUGAUGAGCCACUGUGUUACAAUUAAAAAAAUAGAGGACGCUCAUACAUCGAGGUAUUGAGUCAUACUUAUUUAAUUAGGGCGUAAUAUUUUGACUUCCGUUGCAAUGCACAAACAUAUUUGCUAGUAUUUUAAAAUGGAGGAAGGGAGUACAAGUCGUAAUGCGACGUGAACUGGGCCGUGACUCAAUCCGGCACCGACCCAAACCGAGACAUACCGACUUAACCCUCCCAGUUAUUUAUUUUUUUAUACCAAAUCCCACAGCCUCGAACCGCACCUUCAAUUCCAUGGACAUAUAUCAGGUGACAUGCACCUUUGCAUGUCAUCGUAUGACUUGCGGUUUAAAUUUAAAUUUAAACAUUGCAAAAAAAUAUGAAAAAAAUCAUGCAUGUUCACAACACAUAUUAAGAUAAUCCCUAAAAAAUUCAGAUCAAAAUUCGAAACAUACAUCAAGAAACAAAAAAGAGAAAUCUGUCAUAAAUAGUCAUGAAUGGUUUUGUGUAGACUAUUCAUAUAUGAAUUUUUUUUUUUGUUUUUCGGUGUAUGUUUGGAAUUUUGAUCCGAAUUUUUUAGGGAUUAUCUUAAUAUGUGUUGUGGACAUGCAUGAUUUUUUUUAAGAUUUUUCCAUAAUGUUUAAAUUUGAAUUUAGGCCACAAGUCACACGGUGACAUGCAAACAUGAUCUUUGUCCCAAUUCCACCGCCGCGAAAACCAAAACCCGCCACACUCAUCGACCUCCAAAACCCUAGAGCCAUGGCGACGGAGACAACCCCCGCCGCCGCGCCGCGCCUCCUCCUGGGCCCGCCCCUGGUCCGCGCGGCGCGCCCGUCGCCUGCCGCGGACGACACCUCGGAGUCGCACCCGUUCCUCGACCUCCUCGACGCGGCCUUCAACGCGCCGUCCGCGGCCGAGGGCAAGGCGGCGCUGACCCCGCGGGCGGCGCUCACGGACAACUGCAACGCCACGCACGCCAACUCGGGCGACCCCUGCGUUGAAUUGUUUGAAUUUUAAUAAUUGUUUGAAUUCAAAAAAGUAAAUCAUGUGACAUGACAUCAAACCCUAGGUUGUUUAGGAUCGAUAGCUUACUAUUGUCAGGAGAACAACAAGUGCAGACUUGGCAACUAGGGGCGAUAGAACCAGGAAGUUAAACGUGCUCGGGCUGAAGCAGUGAAAGGAUAGAUGACUGGCCGAGAAGUUAGACGAUUUGAAAUGAGUAAUCUAUGCUAGAGCAGUGAGGAUGGGUGAUUAGAGAUUAAAUUGUCAAAUAAAUCAAAGAUUUAAAAAUUGAAAUAAAACAUAAAAACAAAUCAAAGAAUAUUCAAAAAUAAAAUUUGAAAAAUAAAUAAAAAAGGUACCUUUUUGGGUCAAACAAACAAAAUAAACAGACGGAUCCUUUAGUCCUAGUCCGUGUUAAGACCCGUGACUAAAGGGCCUGCCCUUGAGGGCGCUCCGAGGCGCCCACGUGGAGCACCUUUGGUCCCGGCUUGGAACAGGGCCGGGACUAAAGGCGCCUCUUUGGUCCCGGUUGGUGAACCGGGACUAAAGCCCCUUACGGGCCGGGACUAUAGGCCCUGUCCCCUCCAGUGAGAGGAUAAAUCUUGAGAAAUCUUUGGUGUUUCUUAGUGAGGGAUGCUCACAUGUAGUAAGAGAUGAGAGCACAUAUUUUGAGUAUCCAAAAUGAGGCACUUACUAAGAAAUACUCCCUCCGUCCCAAAAUAAUUGUCUUAACUUUGUACUAACUUUAGUAUAAAGUUGUACUAAACUUAAGACAUUUAUUUUGGAACGGAGGGAGUAUUUGCGAAUGCCCAUUGUUGUCGUUAACUUAACUCAAAGUAUGAAGCUUUCAAAUAUUUAAAGGAUCUUGUCUCGAAUAAAAUUUGUGGAUGGAUCGACAAAACCUUACCUAUUGGGGUCAAGGAGGUCCUUAGAGCUUUUUUAGCAGACCCCGCAAACUGGUCAAACCCGUAAAAAACGAGGUGUUUACAGUUUCGGUCAGAAAAACGACGCGGAGCAGACCCCGUAAACCUUGAUCGGUUCAUAAAUUAUUGAAGGGGCAUGGUAAAUCUAUCCAUGGAAAACUUGUCAAACCUCGUCGAAGCAAACACGCCGUCGUGGAACUAGCCGAAAUCUACCUGGAACUCCCCGGAAUCUGCCCCGCAUGUCGGAAGAAGUAGCCGCACACCGAAAUUAUUCGCCGCCGGUCCGAAUUGCGGCCAGCUCGACCUCCACUACCGAGAUGAGACCGUCCACGGGUAGGAUGGAGCAGGCCAUCGGUGGCCAGAAUCAGGGCGGGGCGUGUCACGCCCAAGAUGCGACCCUAUCCUCAAUUUGGCACGAAGGCCUCGUCAGGGAUAGAAGCACAUCUCGUCGUGUCGCAAGAAUGGAUAUCGUUACAAGUACAUGUACUGAAAAGAAGAGAUAUAUAUACAUAGUUGACUUACACUCGCCACAAGCUACAUCAGAGUCUCAUCAGUACAUUACAUAAUCAUCAAGAGUAAGAGCAGGGUCCGACUACGGACGAAAACAAACGAGAAAAAUAAGAACGACGUCCAUCCUUGCUAUCCCAGGCUGCCGGCCUGGAACCCAUCCUAGAUCGAUGAAGAAGAAGAAGAAGAAGAGGCAACUCCAAAUGAACAAUCAACGCGCUCGCGUCAAGUGACCUUUACCUGUACCUGCAACUGGUGUUGUAGUAAUCUGUGAGUCACAGGGGACUCAGCAAUCUCAUUUCCAAAGGUAUCAAGACUAGCAAAGCUUAGUGGGUGAGGCAUGGUUAAGUGGUGACGUGGCAGCAAUGGCUAAGCACAUAUUUGGUGGCUAAACUUACGAGUACAAGAAAUAAGAGGGGGGAAGAUCUACGCAUAACGGACGUUACUACUGAUAGUCAAAUGAAUGAUCCUGAACACCUACCUAUGUCAGACAUAACCCCACCGUGUCCUCGAUCGGAGAAGGAACUCACGAAAGAGACAUUCACGGUUACGCACACAGUUGGCAUAUUUUAAUUAAAUUACUCCAAGUUAUCUAGAACCAGUGUUAAACAAAGUUUCCACGUUGCCACAUAACCGCGGGCAUGGCUUUCCGAAAGAUUUAACCCUGCAGGGAUGCUCCAACUAGUCCAUCACAAAUUACCACAAGCCGCAUAGAAAUCCUCAAUCACGAAGCUCGCGACCUCGUUGGAUUCCCUAGUGGAAAACCUCAACUCUAAGAUUACUCAAAGCAUCACCGGAAUUCCGAUGCACAAGAUAUCUCGUCAAAGGUAAAACUAAUCCAGGAAGGCCGCCCGACGUGUCGACGAUCCCGAUAGGAGUCGCGUACCUCGUUCUCAGGACACGACGGAUGAGCGAUGGUUACCACGCCAAACGCCGAGUUGCCCCGGGUAGCGCUAAUAAGCUGCUCUAUUUUGGACCAACACUCAUGAGGAGCACUGGCCCGGGGGUUGAUUAAAUUAUCCUCGAGGCCCGGGAAGUCCCUAUGCAAUUUUAUUAGGUGAUUAGGCAAAUGUAGUACCAAUGUUGGGUCUUGCCAGACCAGCUUUAAUCUAAAACGAAUUAUCAAGGGGGUCCCAUAACAACCCCGAUCGUGUUAGGAGCGCUCAAUUAUGGAACAUAACACCGGUAGCCGGAAACUAAGGGGGCAAAGGUGGAACAAAACACCAGGCUAGAAAAGGUCGAGCCUUCCACUUUUUACCAAGUAUAUAGGUGCAUUAAAUUAAAUAGCAUUUAAAUAUAGUGAUAUAACAAGGAACCCAUGUUAUCACAUGGAAGCAACUGCACGAGCAACUAGCAACGCUAACAACAGGGUUAAGCAAGCAGUAACAUAACCAAUCAGUGGUUUGCUAGGUUGAACAGGUUGAAGGUUAACAUGACAUUGUUGAGAGACUGGUAUUUAACAUGUGGUAGGCAACGAGACAUAAUCGACAGAAACGGUAAACUAGCAUGGCAAUGAUAGUAAUGGUAUUUGGAGAAAUGAUCAUCUUGCCUGAGAACCCGCUUGGAAGAAGAAUGACUCCGUGAAGCAGACGAACCGAUGUAGUCGAACGGGUCCUCACAAUCCGGCACGCUGCGGAACUCUAUCGAGACGAAGCAAACCGGAAACGGAAAUCAACACACGGAAUUCACCACACGAUGCACAACACAUAUGAUGCAUGAGCAGCUGAAUAUAUGCAAGUCACGGCAUGACAAUUCACAACAACCAAAUACUACACAUUAAGUGAAGUUCAAUAUGCAACGAGUUGCAUAUUGACGAAACUCCACGUUAAUUAUUUAGUUGUAUCCCGAGUAGAUACACGGUAAUAUUAAAUGUGAUUAAACAUGGCAAGAGGUGAAGCGCAAAUAAUCUACCUAUCUAGGCAUUUUAAAUGAGGUCGGAAAUGACAUAUAGCACCUCCGAGAUGACCUCACAUGUUAAUUUACAAUUCCGUCCAGAUCUGAACUAAUGCAUUUAAUUAGUUGUUAAACAGCAAAACAAAUAGGUUCACGUGAUUCUACGCGUCAUUUCAGGCAAACUACACAUAGAGAACAUCUUCAACGGAGCUACGGAUCAAAAGUUACAAGCACCUCAAGAUAUGAUGGCAUGAAUGCAAAAUGUAUGCAACGGCGGCUACGAGCACUUCAAAACACCCAACCAGCAAGGGAAAAUGAAACUACACGAGAUUCUAAGCAAGUUUCAUGUAGGACACGUUCAAAUCGGAGCUACGGUUCAAAAACUGCGAGCAAAACAAGAAAUGACUACAAUCUGCCAAAAUCAGCUACAUAGCAUAUUCUACGCCCCACAACUACGAGCUACACAACUCCGAUAAACUCAAGCAAGGCAUGGCACGAAAGAGGGCAAGAAGCAUUACUACAAACAACUAACAACAACUAGCAUGGCAGCAAGGAGCACUAGAAAAAGAAGACACAAAAUGGCUUCUCACACAUUAUUUCAGACUUAUUGAAAAUUACACCUCAUGAAUGUGCAUUUUUCGAUCUGAAGCUAUAUUGGCAGCAGCAAAACCUAUAUCUACAGGACUCCUAAUGACAUGAAAAUUUACAGCAUGCUAGGGAAACAUAAGGGGUACAACUAACUCCAUUUGACCAACCUCAAAAGAGCUACAGAUCAAAAGAAACAAGCAAGAUAAGACAUCAACAAAAUAUUACAGAUUCCAGACUUAGAAAUAUUUUAGCUCCUCCAAAACAGCACUAUUUCUAGCAACUUGAGAGCAAGCAAACAACACCUAAACAUGCAUUUCUAUUGCAACCAAAAAUACCAGGGGCUAAACAAAACAUCCACGAUCAACUCUCUAGUUGACAACACCGUCAAACGACGCACGGAAGAAAUCCUACGAAUUAAACAAAAGGGCAACAUAGCAAAAUAUCUCGCGAACUAACUUCCUCAAAAACUAAAACUAAUUCAUGGAUUUUUCUAACCCGAAAACAUAUAAAAUAUGUGGGGUUGCACAACAAUAUAAAGCCACACGAAAAUGCGAGAAAUAAUCCUAGACACGGAAAAUAAUCUAGCGACAAAUCCCUAUACGCAAAAGUAUCAAUGGCCGCUCUAAAAUACGUGAAAUAAUGGUCCCUAAAACAUGGGCAUUUAUCUAAGGCAUUCGAGCAACCCGAUCUUGCACGAAAAAUAAAUAUAUACGGGUCGAAACCUUAAAAAAUCGGAUUCUACGCGAAAAGUUACACGAGGUACAUAUGCUACUCGUCGCAAUCUGACAAACGGUUUAAAAGAUACACGCGUUUUAUAUACGUCUAUUCCUGUGGAAUUUAUACUAUUCCGAAAAAAUCACCUAAGUAACUAAUGGGCCUAACAGCAUGCGCAACAUAUCUAAAAUGUGCGGGGGCGAGGAAUAGCCUCACCUGGGCAGGCCGUGGCCCGGAUGCGAGGAGGAGGCCGAGGCCUGGGGCUUGGGGACCCUGGGCCGGCUGCGGUUGGGUCCAGCCAAGCCGGGGGGCGAGCUGGGCCGAGGCCCACGCGACCAGGCUGCAGUCACGCAGGCGGUUGCCUCGUCCUCCCGUGCCCGAGGCACGAGGCCCUGGCGGUGCUGCACCUCGCUGCAGGCGGACGGGGAGGACGUCCCAGCCGGCAGCCAGGCGAGGCCUCCACGGCGGCGGGGAAGGCCGGAUCUGGCGCAGUUCGAGGGGGCGGCAGCAGCACAUGGCGGCGCGGAGGCCGGAGGGCCGAUGUGGCGGCGAGAACUGGCGCUGCGAGGGUCGGCUCGAACUGGCGGAGAAGGCGCGAGGGCGGCCGGAUCCAGGGCAGCACGGGGCGGCGAGCUCCCGCGAGGAGGACCGGCAGCGGUGCGCGCAGCGACGCAUGUCGUCGGCGGGGCUGCUGCACGCGGCGGCGCUCGGGGCUGAGGCAGAGCGCACGGGAGCAGGGAGGCGACGGCGAGCUGAGGAAGAACGGGGCGGCACGGCAGAUCCGGGCCUUCGGGGCCUGCUUCGGCCCGGGGCAGGCCCGAUCUGGGCUGCUGCGGCGGGGAGGAGAGAGUGGCAGCGGGAGAGACUAGGGUUUGGUGGGGGCUGCGCGAAAAACGAGGAGGAGAGAGUGGUAGGCUGCCUUAAAAAUAGGAGGGGUAUAUAUAGACAAACGGGGGGGCUAGGUUAGCCGGAAUUUCGUUCCGGAUCCAACCGUGCGGUCGGAUUCGGACGAUUCCGAACGCGGGAACGGGUACGCGGCCGUGUAGAGGGGAUAACCGAAGACGAGAGGGAGAACGGGCGGCGCGGCAACGAGUUUUCAAACACCGACAAACGUCCGACGGUAGACCGAAUACGGUGCCGCUACGGUCGACCGUUCGGGUACCAGACGAACUCCGAUCACGACGAAACUUGACAGGCGGCCUACCUAUAUUAAAAUAAGACCGCACGUCAAAUCUCAACCCAAUCAGAGAAAGUUUUACGCGCACUUUAAAAACAGGGUUACGAAGGUGCCGCGGGCGCGUGCGAGUGCGGUCGGGCUCAGAACGGACAACGACGAGAACCGACAACUAACAACGGAUGCAAGUUUUCGAAAACUGGCGGCAACAGGAUGCCGAUGCAAUGCAGAUGAUGCGAAUGAUGCGACAAAAUAAAAUAGACACACGACGAAAACGGGAAGGAAAGGGAAUCUUUUGGAAUGUCGACAUCGGGUUGUCACAGGGCGGCACCGGAGAAGAGUGGGGCAGGCUGAGGGAGCUCGUGCAGCUACGACGGCGGGCGGUGUCGAGCUCAAUCGGGGACGGGCAUUGCCGAGCUCAAUCGGGGGCGGGCGGUGCAGGUCUCCUCCACUGCAUGCAUGGCCGGGAACGGGGGACGACAAGACGAGGCGGGGACGAGGCGGGCGGCGCCGGAGCGCGAGGGCGAGGCACGCUCAGAUGAGAGGAAAAAAGAAAAAUAAUGACCUAUAGUGGAAUACAGUUCCAUUUACGGAGUUUAUUCUCUGUCGAGAGAAAUUCCACACCAUAAAAAUGGUUUACAGUGUCCUUUAUACACGUUUUUAAAUGUCGGUUUUUAUGAGGUGUGUUAAUGAUGCUCUUAUUAAGUCGGUUUCAUAGGCAGUCCUUGUUUUUCUCUAUGCCGUGUCUCCAAGGCACCUCACGAUUUGGGACACCACAUUAAUGCUAUGAUAAAAAAAAUUGGUUGGGGACACCGAAGAGGCGAGAGUCUCGUGGGAGGUUAGACUUGUGCCAAUUCAUCGUCUUUUAUCAUGUUAUCAUAGAAACAUUAAUAAUUUAAGAUACAACCAUGUCAAUGCAUUAUUUUUUAUGAGUUGUAUCUAUAUUUUAUAAUUUAGGGUAAUGCAUGCAUAUGAUUAGGCUAGAAUCAUUUUUUAUCUAUGACCACGUCAGUUGUAUGUUAGCUAAGAUACAACCCCACUCGCUUUUUUCAUUAACUAGUACACCACGUCAAAAAAAUGCCUACGAAACCGCCCUAAAAAACUAGCAUUGAGACAUGCCUUAUGACUAGAACGAAACACCUGAGGUCUGGGCUUUAGGGAUAUUGAACAUUUGAAUCUGGCUUUUAGCAUGGCGGCUUAUCUAGGACCCAAUCUCUUUGAGUCCUCGCAUGGCGAAUUAAGUUAGUUACUCCCUUCGUUCUUAAUUAAUUGUCGCAACUUUGUCACUUUCGGAUGACUCGGGUUAGUACGUCGGAUUGGGUGAAGGCGAAAGCUAGCCAUCUUAAAAAUAUAAUUGAUCGGUAACGACGGAAGUGAAAAUUUCGGUUCAUUAAAGACUACAAAGUUUGGGAACAUUCUCCAAACUAAACCCUCAAUAUUUUCCUCCUACAUUAAUCGGAGUUGAGGUUUCACGAUCAUGGUCAACAUGAUAUUCUGAGAAAAUGAACUUAUAAAUGAAGUAUUUUUUUCAGAAGAUGUCUCUUAUGUCAAAUAGUAAUAUAACAUAUCUCUCCACGUACCUUUGUUUUGUAAAAAUCGUAUGGUCGGAUUGCCUUGUUUAUCAUAAAUCUAUGCCUUAUCAAGGCUUUAUAAAGUCGGACAAACACUGCUCGACUACUGGCCGAAGAGGUUGAAGCCGAUGGUCGGUAAACAUAGUCUUGUACAAUGCGGAUCCAAGCAUUAAUGACGUAAAGUACUUGAAUACAUAGAAUCAUUAGACAUAAAUUGUGUCAAAUAUAACAAAGUUAGUGUCAAACAAAUAUCAAUCAUUAGUUUCAUCACCCAUCCCAAAUUAGGGCUCCAUAAUUUUCAGAUUUUUGGCCGACACACACCUUGAGGGCUACUGGCUAUACAUCUCGGUAGUACAUAAAUGCGGCAAUCGGAAAUAAAUUCCGCAAAAAAGAGUCCGAGACUGAGGUGGUGCACCACCUCGAAAGCAGUCCGGCAUAAAUCUCGGAUGCGAAUGGUUGGCUUCAUAAAAGACUAUUCCGGCAAUUAAGCUCGGAUGAACCCCUUCAAAUUUUCAGAGACCAAGGUAAUUUAUGACACCUCGAAUGCCGGCCAAUGUUCGACCUCGACUGCAAUUCGGCGUUAGAGCUCGAAUGCAAGUGGACACCGCCACACGGAAAACACUUCAAACCCGAGGUGUGAUCUAAAAAUAACAAAGACAUUGAUAAAGCCCGAGAAAUUAAAAGGGGCUCCUUGGACGCUCGACGUGUGUACUUAUCGAACGCUACCUGACGUGCGAACUCAUCGGAUUCUUGACGUGCGAACUCUUUGGAUACACCUCAGCGAUCCUCAAGAUCUGAGAGGAGAAGAUUGGUUGAACCAGCUUUGAAGACCGACGACCGAAGAUGAAGAACUAUUCGGAAGAACAGAGGAGCGUCACCAACCUGAAGACCAGGGGCUGCUGACGGUGUCCAAAACUAGGGGGUACUCACGAAUUCGUCUCCCGACCAGAUGGGUCAGGCCAAGGACCCCAUGAUGAUUCAUUGAUAGGCCACUUUGGGCAGCCCAUGAUGCAUACAAAUAAGAUUUUACAAGACUUGCUCGCAAGACAAGGACUCCUUUAAACCCUAAACCCAUAUUAUUUUGCACAACCACUAUUACAUGCAACACAAGAAACACUUGGACAUACUAAGCAGACUAUUCACAUCGACUAAAGCAUGAUAGUCUACCUCACGGCUUAUAUAACAAUUAAAAAGGUAAUUAUGAGGAUGGUUUCCUUGAGCGAGGUUUGCGCGCACCUAGACGGGAAACAAAGAACGUCGUCCAAUCCAUCGCCAAGGGUACAACCUUCCGGCGGUUAAUAUUCUUAAAGCUCGUCAACUUCACCAUCACCCCCGUCUCAAGCUCCGCAGCAUACACGUUCCAGUCGUCGUCCUUGACGAGCAACACGCCACCCUCCUCUCCCACAAUCGUCAAGUCCAUCACACUAGUAGUUUCCCAGCUGGGUGGUUUUAACAAGUCCACAAACGCAGCGCAUAGCCAUACUGCAGGACGACCACCAUCCUCAUCUUGCCGCCGUGUCCAUAUCUCUAGCCUCAAACCCUGCCUGUGCAGGUAAAGUAACGAUAGCUUCUCGCCGGCAUGGACAAUAAGCUGUGGCUCAUCAUAAUAUUCAGUCCUCUUGUGUUUGGCCGGGAUCGCAAUCUUUGUCAGGGAGACGCUGCAUGUCUUAGCGUCCACCUCAAUGGUGUGCAGGCUCCAGUCAUGGCCUCUGCAAUGACAAAUGAGCCAGUGUGCCGUGCCUCGGCACACAACGGCACGGGGGUCCCUGAGGGGCAACCAAUUACCCGUCAACCUACCCUUGUUAUCACUGGAUGCAAAUAAACUACUCGGACCGCUCCACCUUGCCUCGCCGGACGUGAAUUUGUGGAGGUUGCAUGGCCGGUGAUCCCUGUCGGUACCAAUGAUGAGCACUUUAAAGAAGGCCGGGUAACCGUGCUUGGCGUUCUUCUUGGUUAGGAUGGCAUAGCCGCCGCUCUUCUUGAAAUCCCAGUUACACUUGAGCGGGGGCAGCUCGUCGCACGAUCCAACGAGCAAAUUACACACGGCCAGGCGGACGAUGGAGUUGGAUGAGAGGUCGACGAGGCGCACGAGGAGGAGGCCGUGGCGAGCGACGAGCGGCACCGCGUUCUCCAGCCGGGCCCUCGUCGCUCUAGAGAAAAACGUCUCGAGAAACCAGUGAUCGGAACUGAACACCGAUCGAGGAGUGGGUAUGAAGGAGGUGAGAAGGGUUGAGCCCCGUCCGAAGCUGAUCUUUUCCCAGAUGAAAAACCCCGAGAGCGACGACGACAUGUGAUCCGGCCAGCGUCGGUGACGGAGGAAGGAGGGGCUGAGCAUGAUGCGGCGCCACUGCUUGCACGCCAUGGCGCAACGGAAGAGGUCGGCCACGUCCUUCACGCGCAUGAAUAUCUCGCGGACGACGUCGUCCGGCAGCGAGGCCGCCGCCGCCUCCGUCGUUUCUCCCAUAUCGUAUGUGUACCGUGGUGCUCUGAUCGGGUUAUGCAAGUACGUACAUCAUCUCGAGGUGUUGAAAUUUAAAGAGACCAAGUCCUAGUCCGAGUCUUCAUCGAGUCGAACUCACGUCCGAUUCGAAGUAGAACCAAACCGAUUUAUGCAGCCGCGUCGUAUCAACUAUAUAUAUAUGGAGGUGCAUUUGCAACUGGGGGUGAGCACGCUCUUGACAGCCACCACCAAAUGGUGCUACGCGCUCUGCCGUAUCAACUAUGGAGAUGAUCAGCUUCUUGUGGACCUAAUCUCAUGCAAGCUAUGUGUCUGGGUUUAUUUUUCACAUCGUCUUUUUGGUCAAAGUUUGACCACAUAUUUGACUAGCAAAAUGUUAAUGCAUGCCAUAAAUAAUUAUAUUGUUGAAUUCAAAUUUAAAUGUAGUUUUCAGUCUCUUCUGCUCAGCAGCUCGUCUCGAAGAUCUGGGCACCAGGGAAGGUAAAUUUUUUUCCUAUGGCUGCUGCAUCACGGCCGGUUGUGGUGCAACGACCGUCUGCAGCGGCGAGGGUGGGAAAACAACUAUAUUUGCCAGCUCUGCAACAGAAAUCUGGAGUCCUCUUUUCAUUUUCUGUGGGACUGCGAGGUCUCGAGGGAAAUCUGGACGACAGUGGCCUCAUGGGCCGGCUGCGCUGCGCUCUUCCCUGCUUCCUGAAACACGUGCAAGUCCACUAGCGAAGCAAUAACAGCCAUCAUCAACACCGCGGCACCGAGAGAGAAAAAGGGCAUCAAAACAAUGGUCGCCCUGAUCGGAUGGCACAUUUGGCAGGAGAAAAACAACCGCACCUUCAGAAAGAAGUUGCCGAGCAAACGGGAUAUCAUCGCAGCUUAUCGGAGAGACAUGAAGCAACGGAGACUUGUCGGAAGAAAUGGCAUUGAGGCCCCAUUCGGGGAGAUAAUGUGAGAGAUUUCCAUCCAUGCUGCCUUAGUAGGGAGGGUGUCAGUGCCUGCGUGCACUGUUGACCUUCCUAAAGACUACGAUCUUUUUUGAUCAACUUUUUUUUAUGUAACGUCGCUUCCGCUAAGCCAAUGAAUGCCAACGAGUCUGGAUCUUUUAAAAAAAAGUCUCUUCUGCUUCAAUUUAACCCCCUAGACACAUCAACGGUUGAGGUCUAUCCACACUUCUUGUGAAAAAAGGAUGGGAUGGUUAUUUUAGAAAAUACGUCGGCCAAACCACCUGUGAAAGCCGCGAUGCGCCGGCCCAUCAAUGAUGUAUGCAUGUAUGACUGUCAAGUGAAAUAGAAACGAAAAAAGAAUAUUGUCGGGCAAGGAUUCAAACAUGAGACCUCGACUGACAGGAGCGAACUGAUGGUCACUAGCACUAACAAGCACAAGUUGUUAUUUAGGCAGCACAAAGUUUUAAAAGAAGAUAAUAACAGCGUCGGUUCCUGAAAAUAAAAAGCAAAACAUUUUUCUGAAAAAAAUGAAUAUUUCUUAAGAAGCGAAUAUUUUUCAAAAGUUAUGAAAAAAAUUGAACUCGAACAUUUUUUUGAAACUCUCAAACUUCUUUUUGAAUUUUAGACAUUUUUUAAUCACAACAUUUUUUGAAACAGAAAGAAGUUUUCAGGAAUAGUGGGCCCUGUACACAUCUUAACAAAAUUGUUUGGGAAUAAAAAAAUACUCAGAGCAUAAAUUUGAAAAAAUGUUUAUUCAGAGCAUAAAUUUUUCAGAGUCCGUUUACUUACCAUAUCACAUACCUCUUCCUUUUAAGGGUUGCAAAGUGUUAUGGAAGUUCUCCUUUUAAGUGUAUAUCUCUAGUAAUAAUCCGCUAAAAAAACUCCGCCCAGACAAUAAAAUCUCACAACCAAGUCCCUGACAAUUUGUGACCAGCACCCUAAAGUUUUUGUUUUCUUACAAACAAGGACAAUUUUUGACAAGACUCAUGAAUUUUCGUCGGAAAUUUCGGCAGCAUAACACAUUGGGAACGAAGAACCACAACAUGCCUGCACAAGGACGGUACAACCGCUCCACGACAAUGCCUUCUGUUUUGUUUGCUUUGCAUGGAAGGAAGGAAAAAACACCGCCCUUGCCGGCUUCUUCAUUCUUUUUAAUGAGGGGCUAGUAUCUCUCUCCACAGUAGUAUCUAUUUAUCCUUUCUUUUCUUUUAUUUCCUUCUUUUUUGAGGUGCUAGUAUCUAUCUAUCUAUCUUGGAAGGAAGCUGUGCUAUAUCCCAUAUAUACCGGUACUAUACUUUGGCCCUACCCUUCUCCUCUUAUUCUUGCAGCGCAACGUGCUACUAGUUAGUUUUAGUCUAGCAGCCUUACAUACGAUGAUGCUAAAGCCCAAUAAGAAAUCUAGCGCUAUCUAUCUACAACAUAAACCCUGUUUGCACCAAAACUCCAUGCGUCCUCUCUCCUGGUGUUUAAAGGGAUCAGCAAUACUGCAGCUGCAUGCUUUUACUUGUUGUAUGCUUGUCUUAACAAACUCACUCUUUUCUCGAUGUACUGAUGCAAUUUACCUUGACUAAGAUACUACUCGUACUCUCCUAGUGGCAUGAAUUAGCCUAAUCCUAUGAUACGAACUAAAGAGCGUCUUCUUUCAUAUUCCUAUUCAUAUGAUUUACGAUACACGACAUCUCAUUUUUUAUGACUUUUCUAUUCAUAUGGUUUUCGUACCCAUUUAACAAAGGAGGCCUAAUUAAGAAGAUGGUUCAUCCACACCAAAGCGUAAUACUCCCUCUGUCACAUAAUCAAAAAUGCUAGACCUACACUAGUGGAAAACGGGCCUUUGGCCCGGACCUUUAGUCCCAGCCUGCCUCUGGGCCGGGACUAAAGGCCCGGCCACGUCGUCCCAAAUCGCAUUGCCUCCCACAAGGCUUUGGUCUCGGCCCGUAAGGAGCCUUUAGUCCCGGUUUGUGUCCCAAACCGGGACUAAAGGGCUACGCGGUGUGCAGCCCGCAUGUGCGUCACCUUUAGUCCCGGUUUGUGUCUCAAACCGGGACUAAAGUCCUCUGCCUAUAUAUAGCACAGCCCCCCUCUCCCCUCUUCCUUGCAUUUUUCUUGGAUGGAAGAGUGUGGGUGUGUGCUAGCUCUUCAUUUUUUUUCAUGCACUAGAGGUGUUNACGAGAAUAUGGAUAACGACAAGCACCUUGAAGAAGGUCGAGUAGCCGGGCGGCACCGGAGGGUGCUGCUCGGCAUCUGAGGAACAAUCUUCGCCGGUCAGGAUGGCGUAGCCGCUCCUGUCGAAACCCUAACCGCACUUAAGGGGAGGGAGCCUGUCACAUGCCCCGAAAAACACAUUGCACAUGACCAACCACACAGUCGAGGCCGGAUAGACAUGGACAUCAGGCAUGUUCAGGCGCAGGAAGAGGACGAGGCCAUGGCGAGCGACGAGCGNNNNNNNNNNNNNNNNNNNNNNNNNNNNNNNNNNNNNNNNNNNNNNNNNNNNNNNNNNNNNNNNNNNNNNNNNNNNNNNNNNNNNNNNNNNNNNNNNNNNNNNNNNNNNNNNNNNNNNNNNNNNNNNNNNNNNCGAGCGACGAGCGGCAGCAUGUGGGGCAGCAACCCUCUCUUGCGGGCUCUCGCGGGGAGAAAGGUCCGAAGGCCGCAACGGUGGGUACCGAAGAGCGAGUGCUUCGUCGGGACAAAGGUCGUUAGGAAACCAAGGGACUCCGUGAGGUCCGACUUUUCCUAGAUGAGGAGCCCAAAGAGGAACGCUGGCGUCGAGUCCGGCCAGCAUAGGCCGUGGAGGAAGGAGGCCUCGAGUACGACACGACGCAUCUGCUUGCACGACGCGGUGCAAUGGAAUAGGUCGUCGAUGUUGUCCAUGUGCCCAAGGAUCUCGCGGACGACGUNNNNNNNNNNNNNNNNNNNNNNNNNNNNNNNNNNNNNNNNNNNNNNNNNNNNNNNNNNNNNNNNNNNNNNNNNNNNNNNNNNNNNNNNNNNNNNNNNNNNNNNNNNNNNNNNNNNNNNNNNNNNNNNNNNNNNNNNNNNNNNNNNNNNNNNNNNNNNNNNNNNNNNNNNNNNNNNNNNNNNNNNNNNNCCCGUGCUACCGUCGUGCGACGUGGCCACAUGGGAUUAGACGAGACGAGUCUCGGGUGCGCUGUGCAAGGAACCAAACCACCAACGUGGAGGCCGUGGCUUUUUAUAACCUGGAUGGAGGCUCGGGGUCCCCCAGUUGGACUCUAGACCGUCUCGGCCCGAGUGAGCACGUGCCUAACCAGGCCGAGCCUGCUAACCUGCUCGGCCUGGCCCUUCCGACAGCCUUGAAAUCGAAAUUAGUCGCACGCACAAUCGGGACCUCCUAUUCGCCGCGCGUUGCAGCAACGNNGAAUGGGCUAGCCCAUCUUCCGCUCACCCCAACUGGGCCGUCCCAGCUUAUUUUUUGGUUUAAAAAAUAAUAUAAUAAUUGUUUUUCUAUAUUUUUCAAAUUCCAAAACAUUUUUUCGAGAACCAGAACAUUUUUUCAAAUNNNNNNNNNNNNNNNNNNNNNNNNNNNNNNNNNNNNNNNNNNNNNNNNNNNNNNNNNNNNNNNNNNNNNNNNNNNNNNNNNNNNNNNNNNNNNNNNNNNNNNNNNNNNNNNNNNNNNNNNNNNNNNNNNNNNNNNNNNNNNNNNNNNNNNNNNNNNNNNNNNNNNNNNNNNNNNNNNNNNNNNNNNNNNNNNNNNNNNNNNNNNNNNNNNNUUUUUUCAAAUUCCGGAACAUUUUUUCAAAUUUCGAAACAUUUUUUUGAAAAAUCCGAAACAUUUGGAUAAAAAGUCCAGAACAUUUAUUCAAAUGCCCGAUUUUUUUUAAAUUCCCGAACAUUUUUUCAAAUUCCGGAACAUUUUUUUGAAAAUCUGGAACAUUCUUUGAAAUUAUGAAACAUAUUUUGAAAUUCCGAAACAUUUAUACAAAUUCAGGAACAUUAUUGUUUCAAAUUCCAGAACAUUUUUCGAAAAUUCAGUUUUUUUUUGAAAAUUAAGAACAUUUUUUAAAACAGAAACAUGAAAAAAAAAAACAGAAAGGAAAAAAGAAAAAUGAAAAAAAACGGUUCAGGAAACCUUCUAAAAGUUUCCUAAAACCAGAAAAAACCUUCUGGAACCUCUACCCAAAACCGGAAUGCUCCAGUAGUUAUAUGGGCCUGCCCGUUGCGUCGCUCCUCGGUCGCUCGCCUGUGCGAAGCGCCGACUGCUUGACGCAACGAGCGGCAAAUAGGAUAUUAUUCCCGCACAAUCCCCCUCCGCCUUCGUCUUCCUCUCCGACCCGCUCGCCCACGGAUCCGGCCCGCCCCGUCCCUAAACCCUAGCUCCCCGGCGCCUCCCUCCCUCCCCGUCCGGCGAGCGAGCGAUGGAGGACGAGGAGAUGGAGAGGAAGGUGCAGCAGUACCUGCACCGCAAGGGCUUCCGCCUCACCGAGCUCGCGCUGCAGGAGGAGCGCAACCGCCUCUCCACCACCUCCCUCUCCGACGUCUCGCUCUCCAGGUACUUCCCCCGCCGCCGCCGCCGCGAAUCCCCCUAAGUCCCCACCCCGCCGCCCCUUCCGGCGGCUGCAGCAGCCUCGCUCCCCAAGUUCCGCGUGGCAGCCACUGGUUUUCCCGCUGUUUGUGCGAGGAAUGGUGCCAAAUUGGUGAUUCCGAGUGGCCAAGCCGUGGCGGUUUGACUCACCUGACCCGGGCCGGGCUGUUUCUGCUAGGGUUUAAGUUGCUCCGAGUUCAGAAUCAGCUUACCCGCUCGGUCGUGAGAAAUUGGUACUUUGGCUCGUGCAGUACCAAACCUUCAACAUGAUUUGGUCCUUGAGCAGAGUUUGUUAUGGGGGCUAAUCUAGAGAGCAUUAUGUCAAAUACGCUCGGAAACUGCUCUAAUUCCAUGUUAAUCUGUCAAAUCUACCGUGUCCCUCUUUGUUGACAGGCCGGAUAACGACCCAGCAAGAUACUAUGAUGGCUACAAUAAGCUAAGAACAUGGGCAUACAAUUCUCUCGACCAAUACAAGGUGUGCUACAUUACGUGUGGCUUGUGAUUCACGUUUACAGCUCUAGUACAUUUGGAUGCACUUUGCUUCACAGCAUUCACAUAUAUUUUGAGGCAUGUAGCUGCUAUAUCCACACCGUUCAGUAAUCUAGCAUGCUACUCAUGAGUUAUCUUCAUGUUUCUCUUAUUGAAAAUGAGCAUGCCUGCUGGGUGCACCAUGCCUCCAGGAUCAUGGCUGAAUGCUUGCCUGCUAGCUUCAGAUGCAGCAUUUACGAAAUGGUCUUUCUGUCUUAUGGCAUGUGUUCACACUGCAGAGCUCCGUCUAGAAAGCAAAAAACCAUUCACAUAAGCAGAAUCAUGUACUUGUCACAUGAUUGUAGUCGCUGGAAAUCGGAUAUUUGGUUGCAGUGGAUGGACUACUUGCUAUAAUUUGAUGUACCUAUUACAUGGAACGGCCUUUUUUAUUUCCUUGUAUUCAGCUAUAUAUGUUUCGUGCCUCUGAGUUAUUUUUUUUUAUAUUGUAGCAUGAAUUACUCCGUGUCCUUUAUCCAGCGUUUAUCCAUUGCUUCAUGGAUCUUGUGUCAGAGGGGCAUACACUAGAAGGUAAUUAUUUUUGUGGGCAAGAAGAUAUUGGUAGUUGGUGUACAUUUCUGGGAUAAUAUUUGUUUGCAUUUUAUGCAUCCACUUAGUUUAUUUGGGGCAUUUCUGUCAUUGAUAUCACCACACAUGAAUCCUGCAGCUCGGCAAUUUUUCCUUAAAUUUCGGGAAGAUCAUGAACUGAUGCAUUCAAGGGAUCUCCAAAAGCUGGAAGGCACUCUUUCUCCUUUGCAUUUGGAGGUUCAUCAUUUAGCUCUCUUACAGCCAUUCAACUGUGAAUGGAGAUUUCCUUUCGUUUAUUUGAUUUUAUCUUCCCAGGAUUCAAAAAAAUAUGCACUUAUUGUUUUGCGUGCUAUACUUUUCAGGAAAUGGAUCUGGCCCGAUCUUUAAGGCAAAAUAAAUUCAGAAUUAAAUUAUGUGAGGUAGUACGGCGCCAAGUUCUUAUAUAUUUGCAUUCCAUCCCUUUGUUGCAACUACGAUUGUAUGGUUGAGUCACCUUUUGUGAGUUAAAUCAAUGCACUUUCUAGGUCCGUUCUUACCUUUUCUUCCUGAAUCCUAAUGUUCAAUUAGUUGCAAAUAGGAGUAGACGAUACAUCAUCAUGAUAACAUAAUUAAUGCAUAUAUUGAACGCGAGUUUCAAAUAUGAGACACUGACCGCAUAUAGAUAAGUUUCUCACAGUUGCUGGCAAAGCACAUUCUAAGUGGUGAUUUUUAGUUCAAUUGUCAAACUCAUUGCAUGAUGCAUCAUGAUCUCACCUUUUUUCUUUGCUGCAAUGUUGUUUUUCCUAGAAAAAUAUUUCAACUGUUCUGUUUAAAGUUUCCGCGUUUCAUUGCAGUAUUCGUAUGAAUUACUUCUCCAGUAUCUCCAGAAAACACAAGCUCUUGUGAUGCUUGGAAUAAUCAAUGAAAGGAUAAUUUUUGAAGGUACAGUUCCCAGACUGUUGAGAUUAUAUCACACAUUUUACUUACCCUCACUUCUGAAAUCUUUUCCACCACUUUUCUCUAUGCUAUAUUGGCAGUAUCUGCUGGGCAGCCUUCAUUGAUCUCUGAUGAUGCUGAUGUUGUUGCUCUGGUUGGAACUAGUAAGGACUUGGCAAAACAGAUAAAUCAGAAGGAAGUGCAUUGGGGGGUAUGUUACUUAGCACAUUAGUGAUCAAUGUGUUUGUUUCCUAUUACUAUUCUAUCAAAACGGUUAACAAUGCCGAUCAAACAGGGAAAUAAACUCUAGUAGCACUGUUUUUGCCACUUCCCAAACAAGCCUCUUCUAUGAGAGCAAUUUUUCUGUUUAUUCUUCGUUAUCCUGAGUUAUGUGUUAUUAUUAACACUAAAAUUAUGGCAUGCAGUUGCUUGAAGAUUCAGUUGAGGAGCGUAUGGAGAAAGCACUCUCAGAUUCUGAUAGAGCUGAAGCAGAAAGCAAGGAUGCAGAUGCAGAAGAUAAUAACAAGGUAAGAAACUCUCUCAUGGUAUGGGACCCUUGUUAUAUUAUGUUUGUUAUGCUCUCUGCCAUGGAAACCUGGACAUUCCUUUUUUGUCAGCACUCAGAAUCAUGUUUUUGUUCCUCUCUUCUUCUGUUGUGUUUCAUUAUUUCUUAUUGUUUUUCCUACAGAAAAAAUCCUCAGAAGGUGGAAAGCAGGGUGGUUCUCUUAACAAAAAGCUCAAAAAGGAUAAGCUUGUAGGUCCAACAGGGAAAAAUACCAAAUCCGAAACAAGCAUGGUUUCUGCGGCACCUCGUGUGAAACCGGAGCUAACCCUUCCAGCAACGUAAUUUUUUUUCCUCUUUGUAAACUUCUCUAUGAGAAGCUCAGUUUGAUCUACAGUUCUAAAUAAUUUAUCAACUGUAGCCUUUGAAAAAUAUAAAUACCAUUUCUAUAACUGAAUGUGAGUGUCAUGCGGCCUUCUUGGAACCUAAAAUUAAGGCUGAAGUGUUCUGUGGGGGGUCUCUUGGAAAAAUUAUCUUACAAGUUUCAGGACGACGAAAUUCUUUUCCCUUUCCGCAGAACAUACUCUUUUCUAUCUGUCAAGUGUCAACCUUGUGUUUACGAACCCAAACAAUUACACCUUUGUUUCAGGCCUGUUGAAGUUGAACAAUCAAUUCUCGAGGACCUGCGAAACCGUGCACAAUUGAAUAACUUGGCAUUGCCUUCUGUUAGCUUCUACACAUUCCUUAAUACACAUAAUGGGUAAGCUUAGCUGUAACUUAGUAUCAACUGUUCCAGUGUGCAUACUUUGGUUUGAACAUUAUCCUGUGGAACACAGAUUAAACUGCUCAUCAAUCUCAAACGAUGGAUCAUUGGUUGUUGGUGGGUUCUCAGACUCAUCAGUAAAGGUUAGUCCCUUUUGGUGAUAGUUUAAUUGUUUCUCAUGUGAUCACUACAUUAACUGGUAAAACUUCCCUGUUCACUAGGUUUGGGAUAUGGCAAAGAUUGGUCAACCAGCCAAAACACGUUAGUCGUUCUACACUACAUAUUGCUGAUGUUUUUAUUCCACUGUGAUAUGGUGAAAAGCUUCUGUAGCUGUGCAUCUGAUUUUUGUUAUGGUAGCCUUUUGUUCUAAGGAUGCUACUAGUUUAUUUCGUUCAGUUUAAGUUAUGAGCUAGAAGUUUAAGGUGGUGUCGCGGGACUGAAAAUGUCUUCUGGACCCUACCUGCUGGACAUGAAUAUUUUAACGACAUUGCACUAUUUGACUGGAACCUGUAUUCUUCUAACAUAGUAGUGCUUUCAUUUAUAUCUUGAUGGGAUUUGCUGAUUGGGAAAAUUUGGACUCAGCUAGUUCACAAGGAGAGAAUGGAUCUUCACAGGGUGAACACUUGUCAUCAACAUCUGAGGGGAAAAAACCUUAUACAUUAUUCCAAGGUCAUUCUGGACCAGUUUAUUCCGCUGCCUUUAGUCCAUUUGGAGAUUUUCUCCUGUCAUCAUCUUCAGAUUCAACAAGUAAAGCAUCACUUACACUAUGCUUAUUUUGUACCAUUCAUUUACUUGUUCGCUUAUUUAAUCGAACUGACAGUUUGUCUAUUUUUUUAUAUGCUUGUUACAGUUCGGCUGUGGAGUACCAAGCUGAAUGCCAAUCUUGUUUGUUACAAAGGACACAAUUACCCAGUUUGGGAUGUCCAAGUAUGUGAACAAGCCCUUUCUCUGUAUCAUUUCGUGAAAACAACAUUUGGGUUAUUUCUUCAUGGGAAGUGUUGACUGCCUAGUUCAGGCCAAAACAUUUGAUUAGUUAGUUGAUUUUUCAGUAGUAUUUAUUAGAAUGAUGCUCAGAUCUGUUGUUACAAUCAAUGUCAAUGCCCUACAAUCAAUUGGUUGUUCAGUAAUUCUUAAUAAACUCUUCUGAAGUUCUAGACCUCAUUACCUAUAUGGAUAUGAUGUACAGUACAAGGGAUUAUUCUGGAGGUGAGGAUGGGUGUCUCCGUUGUUACAAACAUUGUCCAUACCCUACUAUUGUUUUAAUCUUGAUCUUGGUGCAAGGAGUGCAAAACUGCAAAUACUUGUGAUAAAUAUUCCUAGUUCGCUUUUCAUUUUGAACACUUCUGAUGAUGGAAUUUGGAAUAGGUCCAUUGGGCUUGAUGUUCUUUUCAACAGCUUAUGAUUGGUACAUAAAUUUUUGUUGCGGUAGCUUUCUAAUUCUGUUCUAUUGAACCUCAUGACAUAAUUGUGUGUCGUAGUAUUUUCUGACAUUUGUUUUAUGUUUUUGUGGCAGUUUAGUCCAGUUGGCCAUUAUUUUGCCAGUGCCUCGCAUGACAGGACUGCUCGAAUUUGGUCAAUGGACAAAAUCCAACCUUUGCGGAUAAUGGCUGGGCAUCUUGCUGAUGUUGAUGUAAGUGUGCUUCUAGCUCAUAGUUUGUAGUGAUUUGUGAAUUGACAGUCUGCUAUGGGAAUGCUUACUGAUGUCUGCAUGUUCUGAUUGUUCUCUUCUGCAAAUUAUUUAUCUGACAGUGUGUGCAAUGGCAUGUAAACUGUAACUACAUUGCCACCGGCUCCAGUGACAAAACUGUAAGGCUAUGGGACGUUCAAACUGGUGAAUGUAUACGAAUGUUUAUUGGUCAUAGGAGUAUGGUCUUAUCACUGGCAAUGUCUCCUGAUGGGCGAUACAUGGCUUCUGGGGAUGAAGAUGGGACCAUCAUGAUGUGGGAUCUCUCUACUGGUCGCUGCGUUUCACCACUGGCAGGACACAACUCUUGUGUGUGGUCACUUGCUUUCAGGUAAUCAUCAUUAUACAUUGUUUUACUUAGUAUCCCACGUGUCCUUGUUGCUGAUGGUAGUCAAACAGUAGUUGAUAUACCAAAUAUGUGUAAAGAUUAUUAGUUUGUGGCAGGGCUUGGCAAACUGGCCUUUCUUGUCUGCUGCCUUUAAUCAGUUUUCUGAGCAGUGGCUUCAGUUCACACUGGGUUAGAUUUAUCCAUAAAUGAUUAAUGCGUUUACUAACCAUUUUGGCCACCUUUAGUAUUUAACUGGAAUGUUGCAUGAUUCUGUCUUCAAAUGACCACACCAUGGAACUUGAAUACCCGUGUGUGGUUGUUUUUUCUUGAAUAUACAUCGAUGGUCCAGCUUAUGUACUUGGCCCAAUGCAAUUGUUGGUUGAUCACAGUAGAUUUUCUUCUGGAUCUAUUGUUUGAAAAAAUCUGUAUUUUUUUCCAUUUUUAACCACUGUUUUCAGUAGAAAUUAUGCAAAAAAAUGUCUUCCAUCAACGGAUUAGAUUGAGUAUCAUGGAUGAUUCUUCUUUUUUGAAGUGUGCAUUCUUUCUCUUCCAGUGACAAGUCAUGCUGUGUUGCUACUACUCCCUCUGUUCCUAAAUAUAAGUCUUUUUAGAGAUUUCAAUAUGGACUACAUACGGAGCAAAAUGAGUGAAUCUACACUCUAAAACAUGUCUAUAUACAUCCGUAUGUAGUCCAUAUUGAAAUCUCUAGAAAGAUUAUAUGUAGAAAGGAGGGAGUACUCCGUAUGGUUUUUAGUUUUUGGAGAAGCAUGAUUCUUAAUUUCAUGCUAAUAUGUUAUGCCAAAGAAUCAUCUCAGUUAAACAAUCCAUCCUCUAUUUUAUAGCUGCGAGGGAGCAUUGCUUGCAUCAGGAUCAGCUGAUUGCACUGUUAAACUCUGGGAUGUCGCGUCCAGCACAAAGGCUCUGAAGAUGGAUGACACGUAAGUUGGUUGGCUUGCUUGUAAAAGGACGCUUUGGUUUGCCUUACUCUAGUUUUUAAAUAUCCUUUAUUUUUGUGAAACAGCAAAGCUGGUUCGACGAACCGACUGAGGCUGCUGAAAGCUCUCCCUACAAAAUCGACUCCUGUUUAUAACUUGCGGGUGAGAAUGUCUUUCCAUCCACAGUUCUCAUCAGUUAACAUAGGGUAGUUACCGUGUGGCGUGAAAACCAACUAACUGAUCUUUUCCAAUUGCAGUUUUCCCGGAGGAAUCUUUUGUUUGCUUCUGGCGCUCUCUCGCUAUAGGCUCCUAAGCUUGCUGUAUGCUCUGUAGAAUACAAUUUACAUUCUUUCAGUGUUGACCUUAAGUAGCAAAGUAGAUGUUUACUUGGCUGAGUCCUGUUGUAGAGCUUCUUACAUUGUCCUUACUGAUCUCAGUGAACCCUAUGAUUGAGUAGGUUGUUAAACUGUAGCCUGUGAACAUUGCUCAUUGAGACUUGUGUAUUACUGUUGUAACAUUAGCUAAUUUUAAAUUAUAUACGUGGAAGGUAGUAGUCACAAAUAGGAAACAAGAACACUUGGUUGAUGCAAGAAGACAAUGGCCCAAGAGCUAGAGUUUAGGAGCUUCUUGAGGGUUGUUUUCACAGCAUCUUCUUGUGGUGUCUGAAGGAGCUGAGCUGUGAUUUGAUAUAGUUAUGGGACUUGUGAGGGAAAAAAGCAUGACCUGUCGGUCUUCAUUUGAGCGAUCAAGGCCAUAUCUAUCUCUUAGCUAUUGCUGAUGUUGAAAUGUGAGUUGUGACUGCCCUCAUUGGUCCAAGCUUGGUGUCAUUUUGUAUCCUGCUAUCUGUCGACAUCUGGACCAGAGCGUUCCUAUCACAAGUAAAUGUUGAUUUCUUCAUGAUGUUGCCAACAAUCAAAGUGAAGAACUGUUGUGCACCCUGCAUUUUGUUGGCAUGCCGCGCCGAAGGUCUCUCUCUGCCAGGCUGCGCCGCAAUAUAUCCUGUCCCGCUGAAACAGCGAUGCAGGUAGGUGGGAGAUGACAUGAAAAUUUGACUUUGCUGCUGUGUUGGAUGUCAAAGCUGAAAUAACGCAGUGACAAUGGCAGAUGCGACCCGAGCGUGUGGAUGCGAGGGGCGCUGCGCAAGUGUUCUUAAACCCCCGGGGCCUGAGCUUGCUAGCUGAGCAUCCAACUUUCAGCUUACUCACACACCAACAUCGAGGGAAACCCAAGGUAGAAGAGGUCGUCCAUCAAAGGUUCACAACUACCAUCUCUCAUCCUGAUUUUUGUUUAUUUUAUUUUAUUUUACGAGUUGUUCUCUCGUCCUUAUAUACUAGUUGUAUGAAUAAUCAUCUUUUCAUGGGAUGUAAUCCUUGAAAAAAAAAGGAAGCACCUAGCGGCUAAGUUUCUAUGUAUCAGUGGGUUUUCGCAGCCUAGUACUUCCUUUGUAAAUUAGUAUAAAAGCGUAUUAUUAAAGUAGUGAUCUAAACGCUUUUAUAUUAGUUUACAGAGUACUAUAUAUUCAUCUUCUUCCCCUCCUAGUUAUUUCUAGCCCCUUUUACCCUUUCCAAGCCGCCUCUUCUAUCGUGCCACAAUUGUUUCAACCAUCAUUGUAAGCCCCAAUCUUCUCAUGCGCCUGUGUGCACUCGUCAACCCUCUUUCUAUGCUCCGUGUGGCAUCGGCAACGACGCGGCUAGGUUUGCAAAAAAUCUCUUUUUGUUCGUGUCUUGUUGGGCAUGUAUUGUUUUCCUGUUUCUUUUUUCACAUAUUUUCAAAAUUAGAACUAUUUUUCCAUGAAGUUUCAAAUUAGUUCCAUAUGUAGUUAGGCUAUCUCCGACGGCAACCCCUGAACUGUCCUCAUGUUCAGCACUAUACUGUUCGAUUGUGUUGUGCCAUCCAAAAUAGGAUUGUAAUGGUCUGCAUGGUGGUCCGGACAUACUUUCUUCCGCACACCAGAGACAAAUAUGCGGGGCUUUGCGGUGUCCGGACAGCACCUAGGCCAGCGUCUGACCAUCCUGACUCAACAAAACUCCUCAUCCCUUGCCCGCACGCGUUUCCACCCGAGGCCAGCUACCCGCAGUCAUGUCGAUGUGGAGCGCCCGCUAUACAUUGAAGCCGGCCCUGAACGGGCGCGAUGUCUCACUGGCUCCGCCAUUAAAGCGGCGCGCCGAUCGUGGGCGUUGCCCACUGCACGUCCGGUAGAACUUGCCUCCUUGCCGCAUUCAAGCGCCUUCCUAAACCCGCGUGGAAGCCGACAAACCUACUCGGGCCACAUGUCCGUUCACGAGCGGGCGACAUUAAACACAACGCCUGGCAAGCUCCUCCUUGCCGCCUGCUAUUUAAAGGAUGCCUAGCCGGCGGGCAAGAAUCACACCACUACGCCUCUCCCCAUCUCCUCAUCCCACCCUUUCGAUGGCAUCCGGUGUUGCCGGUUGUAGACUAGUGUAAUAUAUUCGUAUAGUAGGAAUGGAGCACCGCAUGACCGGAUUUGCACAUAGUUUUGCCUAUUUUGGUUAAAAUAUGCCUAAAAUGUAAUGAAUUUCGUUCAAUUUAUAUGUAAUCCAUUGUAUUUGCAUGAAAUUCACCCGAUUUGUUCGAAAAGUUGUUGAAAUGUAUGUGGAUAGCGUUGGAUGGCGGCCUCCUCCAUCCGUGUCCAUGCAUAGGCCCCCCUUCCCGCAGACUAGCACUUAAGUACCAUGCUAGCACUUUGCAUUGAAGUACUACCAGUUAGGGGGUAUUUGGCUGGGUUUAACUUUGGCUUAUAAGCCAAAGAAAAUCACCUAUGUUAGAGCAAGUACAAUAGGAUGACCUAGGCGGGCUGUAAGACUUAAAAUAAUAUAUUUGUGAUGAGUUGGAAGAGAGAGAAGAGAAGCGGGCUAAAAACUAACAGCCGGCUGUAACACGUGCUCCUAGGCACUUUGUGAGAAAGGAUGAUGGACCUUGUAUCAGUAAAGUAGUACUUAUUUACAUCUACCCAUUGUACUUGCGGGCUAUAAACUUGGCUAUAGAUUACGUGUCAACAUCAUAUAGCCAGCAGUUGGCUGUACUGUUAACCAUGCUCUUAUGGGCUUUUGGCUUAUACCAUCAUGUGCAAAAGCCAAAAACAUUGCUACAUACACGUAGGACAUUUCCCAUCUGAAUCUCUCUCACAUCACACCGUUCAUGCGCAAGGCUAAGCUACAACAGGCAGUUGAAUUAGCCGUUCUACCAUUAUCGUACCACAACACGUCGUAUGUGAGUACUUUCGACAACCAAAAGCAUGAAGUGGGUGUUUUGAGUUGGUCUUUUGUCCUUAUUUUACUAGUAGUAGUAUCGAGUAAUCAUCUGCUUUUUAUCCUCAAAAAAAGGGUGCACUCAGCCACCAGUUGCCUGAAAAAGUUUAUAUGGAUAAGUCAUCUUCGUCCUUUAAGCCCCACAUUUCUAUUGCGCUGGCAGGCGCCCUUGCAGCCGUCAAUCCUCAUCGUAUCUUCUGCCGGCGACGAUAUGCUUAGCAAAUCCACAAAAAAGUAAUCUAUUUUGCCUUUUGUCUUCUUGUUAGGCUUGUUAUCAUAUGUAUUUCUGUUAGUUUUUUCUUCACACACUUUUAAAAAAUAGAGCUAUGAUUUAUUUCAUGAAGUAUCAAAUAUUAGGUUCAUAUUUAGUUAUGUACCAAUGUUCAGACUUGCACUUUGGAAUGAAUCAACGAAGUGCUAUGAGUUAAGGGCUAUUUGCCUUAUAAGUGAAAAAGACACCUAUGAUGGUGUUAAGCAACAAAGACACCUAUGAUGGUAUAAUCCAAAAGUCCACAAAUAGGGGUGUUUCUUUGGGCUUAUAAGCCAAGUGAAAAAGCCAAAGUUAAGCCCAACCAAACACCCCUUAGUGUGAUUAUCUUCUUCGGCGAGCAUAUAUAUACAAACAUGUUUACAAAAAUAAAACGCUAAUUUAUGACCACUUACCAUUUUUAUCCUUGCAACUCCAUUGGUGAAAACAUGAUCUAUCUGUAUUGGAACUUAUUGACUAAAAGUGACGCAGUAUGCACUAAUGUAGGUUUGUAAUUUUUUGGAGCUUCUUAUAUUGAAAAUACAUGUCUGGCCUUUUGCAGGAAACGUAAACACAAUGGGUCUCGGCAUCCUUGUUCUAUCGGUGCUCUUAGGAUUGUUUUAUGGAGCAAGUGACAUUAACUGCUCAACAGUUCAUGGUAACACCACAGAUCACCGUUCAUUGCUUGAUUUCAAAGGGGCCAUCAGAGCGGACCCAAGAGGAGUGUUGCGCUCUUGGAAUGAGAACAUCCACUACUGUAUGUGGCCGGGCAUCAAGUGCAGCACAUGGCACCCAGAACGUGUUACGGUGCUAAACCUUGCCAACCUGAGCUUGGCAGGCCAAAUCACACCUUAUCUUGGAAAUCUAACCUUCCUUAGGGAACUUACACUAUCCAACAAUCUCUUCUCUGGCCACUUGCCCCCUCUCAAUCGUCUUAUAAGAUUAAGGAUCAUUGAUCUACAUGACAAUUUGUUGCAGGGGAACAUUCCCAAUGCACUUACAAAUUGUUCUGAACUCGUGGGGCUAGACCUCUCCUUUAACAUGCUAGUGGGUUCAAUUCCCCAGAAUAUAGGUUCCCUCUUCAAUCUUAUAGGAAUAGACCUUUCCAAUAAUAGCCUCACAGGAAACAUUCCACGAACGUUCGGCAACAACAGUUACUUAGAAGAGCUACGACUUACCCACAAUCAACUCAAAGGAAGCAUUCCCGAAGAUCUUGGGAAAUUGCCGAAUAUGGGGGUGAGCCGGGCGGUGUAUCUUGGUCAGAAUAGGCUAUCUGGUAGAGUUCCAACAACAUUGUUUAAUCUAUCGAAUCUUAUAAUACUAGACUUGAGUAGAAAUACGCUAAGGGGCACACUGCCAUCCAAUAUCGGUAAUCUAUCUGUCGCGCUUCAAUGGCUAUUUCUGGGUGCAAACAACUUGUCCGGGACAGUGCCACCGAGCAUUGGGGCCCUAAAGGACCUAACCGCUUUAGAUCUUGGAGGAAACAACUUCGUUGGACCAAUACCGUACUCCAUUGGCAAUCUGGCAAAGUUACAGAAGCUCUACCUUUCCAAUAAUCAUUUUGACGGUUGGUAACGCAGCGACAAUGCUUGACUGCCAACAACUUGAUUCGACUGGUUGGCCGAGCCAAGGGAUGUUGUUUGUUGUGCGAGUGCAAUGGCCUGACGAGGGCUCUGCACCUCCGUGUCCAUGCAUGGCAGCACCAGAGUUUCUCUCAGCGGGUGUGGUUUGAUCUGUUUGCAUUGCAUUUUUCAUUUUCUUGUUGUCCUUAGAUGCUUACUACUUCCUGUACACCUAAAUAAUUGUAGUCGGAGAGAACUCCCUAACUACAAUUAUUUAGAUGCAGAGGGAGUAUAUUUUUCAGCGGGUUUGUCACAUGCAUGUGUGUGUGUGGUAUGUACUGUUUCUGGCUGUGUGCGUCUCGUUUGUAUUCGUAUCAUUUAGAGAAUGCAAUAAAAGGCCUCCACAACAACAACAACAAUCAAGCCUUUCAGUCCCAAACAAGUUGUGAUAGGCUAGAGUUGAAACCCAUAAGAUCUCAAAGCCAAGUCAUGGCUCUGGAACGUGGAUAGCUAACUUCCACGCACCCCUGUCCAUGGCUAAGUCUUUGUCGAUAUUUCAAACCUUCAGGUCUCUCUUAACGGACUCCUUCCAUGUCAAGUUUGGUCUACCACGACCCCUCUUAACAUUCUCAGCACGCUUUAUCCGUCCGCUAUGUACCGGCGCUUCCGGUGGCCUCCGUUGAAUAUGUCCAAACCAUCUGAGAUGAUGUUGGACCAGCUUCUCUUCAAUCGGUGCUACCCCAAGUCUCUCUCGUAUAUCGUCAUUCCGUACCCGAUCCUUCCUUGUGUGACCACAUAUCCAUCUCAACAUGCGCAUCUCUGCUACACCUAACUGUUGGAUAUGUCGUCUCUUGGUUGGCCAACACUCCGCGCCAUACAACAUCGCAGGUCGGAUAGCCGUCCUAUAAAACCUGCCUUUUAGCUUUUGUGGCACUCUCUUGUCAUAGAGUACGUCAGAAGCUUAGCACCACUUCAUCCACCCAGCCUUGAUUCGGUGGCCCACGUCUUCAUCGAUAUCGCCAUCCUUCUGCAACAUGGACCCCAAAUAUCGAAACGUGUCUCUCUCCGGUACCACCUGCCCACCAAGGCUAACCUCUCCAUCCUCGUGCCUAGUAGCACUAAAACUGCACCUCAUGUAUUCAGUUUUAGUUCUACUAAGCCUAAAACCUUUCGAUUCUAGAGUCCGCCUCCAUAACUCUAACUUUCUAUUAACCCCCGUUCGGCUAUCAUCGACUAGCACCACAUCAUCCGCAAAGAGCAUACACCAUGGGAUAUCUCCUUGUGUAUCCCUUGUGACCUCAUCCAUCACCAAAUCAAAAAGAUAAGGGCUCAAAGCUGACCCUUGGUGUAGCCCUAUUCUAAUCGGAAAGUCAUCGGUGUCGCCAUCACUUGUUCGAACACUUGUCACAACAUUAUCAUACAUAUCCUUGAUGAGGGUAAUGUACUUUAUUGGGACUUUGUGUUUCUCCAAGGCCCACCACAUGACAUUCCGAGGUAUCUUAUCAUAGGCCUUCUCCAAAUCAAUGAACACCAUAUAAAGGUCCUUAUUUUGCUCCCUGUAUCUCUCCAUCAGCUGUCGUACCAAGAAGAUGUCUUCCAUGGUAGACCUCCCAGGCAUGAAACCAAAUUGGUUUUUGGUCACGCUUGUCAACCUUCUUAAGCGGUGUUCAAUGACUCUCUCCCAUAGCUUCAUAGUAUGGCUCAUCAGCUUGAUUCCGCGGUAAUUAGUACAACUUUGAACAUCCCCCUUGUUCUUAAAGAUUGGUACUAAAAUACUCCGCCUCCAUUCUUCAGGCAUCUUGUUUGACCGAAAAAUAAG
rnacentral:lncRNA from 1 species